UGGCGGCGAACGUGGGGCUCGAGGCUGGGGUUUCCCCGCUGGCCCCGUGCUUCGAGCUGAAGACGGCGUCCUCCUCUGCUCCUAGGUGCACCUCGUCCUUCUUGCCUGCUGUUGGGUGGGACGAUGGGGGCGUGGGUUCUGGACUGGGGGAAGCUCCUGGCCGGCGUCGGCGGCCACGAUGUCGGCAAUGCUCCGGGCAUUGCUACCCUUCCUGAAGGCGACAUCGUGAUCCUCUCCCUCGCCCUCCACCUCCGUGACCCAGGUGAAAGCCCAAAAUCUCCUGGUUUGGGCGGCGGCGGCGUUCCAGCGCCGUCUUCUUCCUGAAGACGCCGCCUUGGGUCGGUGGAGGUGGUGGUGUGAGCUUCUGAGCAUGUGGGUCGUCGAUUAUCUUCAGUGGUGUCCUCGUUCAAUGGCUUGCAGCAGGCUCCAUACUCUUUGUCGGAGAUGAUGUGAUGGUGGAGGAAUUGGUCUGCUUGAUGGGGUCGCCGUACUUGUCGUCCUUCCCGACCAUCGUCUGGACCGGCUAUGCGUGCUCAGGGGUGAGCAGCUCUGCCUACCGACGGCGUGGCGUCCUACGGCCCAGGACGAGAGGGCAGGGGGCCUUCUUUGGAGGCGGAGGCGGAUGGCGGUUCUGCAGUGAUGGUGCACGGAAGGUGACAGUGUGGUCGUCCUCCGACGGUGACUAGUCUCCUUGGCUUCACCUUAUCAAUGGCAGGAUGUGGAGCUUGCUGAGGGCUUCGAUGCUCAAGCCUUUGCUUGGUGCAUUUGAAUCCCGUUAGUCGUUCUGUAGCAUUGUGUAUCUUUGCCGUUUUUCCUUUUCCUUUCUUUUGUUGUUUGCUCGGAUGUAUUGUGGUGGUGAUUGCUUUAUAAUAUAAAGCGGGGGGAAACCCUUUUUCGGUAAUUCCAGGUGGUACUGGAGGUCCUAGUACUAGCACCGCACCAUUGCUACCAAGAGUGCUUGAUGGUAAAUCAAACUUGAAAAAUAAUUAUGCUUAUGCUCGAUUAGAGACAAAUUAAGUCAUUUAUCUUUCUUGCACUUGUGAACAGGACUGUUUGGAGGUAGGUCAUCAUUUAGUGGAACACCAUGGAACAGGGUGCGCCAUAAUAUUAGAGAACCUCAGAGCACACUUGUGUUAAACCAUGUGCCUAUUAGGUUAGCCCCUGUGAACCUACCUGUAGCAAGGCCAGAACUAGUAGAAGAGCAAAAUAUCAAAGGCACAGGAACUGUACAGCAAACCAAUGGGAGUGCUUUUUCAAGUUAUGGAGGUAAAAUGAUGGGGCUAACCUAACAUGUUUAAGGAAGAAAAUAUGAUAAAUAUAAACUAAUGUGUGUUGGCUUUCCUUGUUGGGUGUGAGCGAUGUUCUUGCUUCUAAGAAGAGUGAUAGAAAGGAUGAUUCAGGAGAUAAUGCUGGGAAGGAGGCUACAACAAGCGCCGGGCAGAGCACUUUAACAAAGAGACCAAGAGAGGAAAAUUCAAGGGAUGAUCGUGGUAAGGAGGCUGCAAUAGAUGAUGCACAACUGUUUGAUAAUAGAGGUAAUCAUGAACUUCUGAAUUGACGGCGUGAAAAUGUAGUAUGAGGAUGUAUGCACUGAAGUUUUUCUAUUAUUAUUGUUAGAUGGCGUUCAAAAUGCAAUUGACAUUGCCGGCUGCAGUGAUAUUAGUGUUAAUGCUUCUCCAAAGAGACCACAUGCUGAUAUUGAAACAAAGUCUGGUGGCAAGGAGCUUAUAGUUUACACAGCAACAAGAUGUGAGUGGUUCUUAUUCUUACAUUUAGAUACUUAAUUGUGCAAAAAACUAGCUUCUUACAACCUGUAACACUGAUAUACAGGUAGACGUGCUAGAUUAGAACCGAACUACUUGAUGAGGGAGAGACAUGUUCACUCAGAUUUGCCUCUAGCGGAAAACCCUUUCCACUACAACAAAAGGAUAGAAUUCCCUAGUCGCAGGACAGCAAAAGAAUUAUAUGAUAGAUUGUUGUUCUCUGACUCAACCACAACAAAAAAGUAAGGGGUGGUGGUGAAAUAGAUAUUAUUUCUUUUUGGUCAGAACUAAGAUUAUUACUGAGAUUUUUAUCUUGUUAUCCAGGCUAUGGUUUGUUCACACUAUACCAACACUGCUCAAAAUUAGUGGAUCGGAGCUCAUUGAAUGUUUCCAAGAGUUUGGCCUAUUUACAAGACUUACAAGUGUAUUAGAAGGACGCUGGAUGAAAAUGAACGCGGAUGGUAUGGAAUAGAAGAGCGCAGAAGGUGGCGCAAAAUACUUCCCAAGGAAUGGGUGGUAAGUUUGCAUUUUUUAGAAGUUUAUAACCUGGCAUCCCAUGAGUAAGACUUAAAAGGCUCAUACACAGACUAUGGUGCUGGGUGGUGGACAUUACAUCAAGAAUCCAAAGAUGAGACAGAUGUUUGCUGGUGGUCUGCAUGAUUAUGCCUUGGACACUUGCCAACUGGUAUAUAUGAUUUGCAUUCCUAUUUUGUUGUUGCACAAAAUGGUAUAGUAUUUUUUUAGAAUUAACUGGAUGAGCAUUCUAUUUGCAUAUUUGGGUGAUCCAUGAAACAAAUGAAGGGUAUUGCAUCAUGUAUGCAUUUGAUAUGGACCUUGAAAUUCUGCAUGUAUUUGACCCCAAACGUACGUGCGCCGGCAUACGCAUACUCGAAAGGCUACAUCAGGCAAACUGUGAAAUAUUGCUGGAUGGACUUCUAAAAUGUGUUGAAGCUUUCUUUGAAGGCUGGGAACAGGAUAGAUCAAGAUGGAAAUUCAAAUUCCAUGACUAUGUUAAUAGUCCUUGCCGCACGUAAGAACUAAAACGAAAUCAAAAACUUUGUAUCUCGACUAGAAAAAAACAUGUUUUACUCUGUUUGCUAGUUAAUUUGGUUCUUUAUAUUUGCAGAGAGGACACACCGGUCUAUGAUUUUCACUACAUUCUAUCGUUUGAUGGGAUGCAUGUACAAGGGACAAUUGACACGGUAUGGUGUUAUGGUUAACUUUUGGUAUUUGAUGCUUCCCCCUUUGUAUUUGUGUUAGCAUGUUUGACCUAUGUUCUUUUUUUAACAGGAAAGUGUCGAUCAUCUAAGGAAGAAACUGAUGUACCUGGUGCUGAGGAUGGAAAGUAAUCUCGGUUAUCUCGAUCCAAACAGCGAGGAGGACUGAUGAAGAAUUUUCAGCAGUACAAUCAGGAUGAUUCUGUUAAAAGCAUGGGUCAUCUACAUGCAAGGGAAAUGCCAAGCAAUAUGGAUUAAUAUUAGCUAUGUAAUGUAAUGUACCGAACCGAAUUUAGCUUUCGUAUCCUAUCUACAAUAACCUUUGUGAGAAAUUAAGGCUAUUAUAUUAGCCAUGUAAUGUAAUGUAAUGUAAUGAAAUGAUCAGAACUACCUUCCCUAACUAGCAGAACCUUUGGAUAAAAAUUAAGGCAAGUGUAUUAUUAGCAAUGUACUAUAAUGUUAUCUAGCAGCAAAUCUCCAUUUGGAGUGAUGGAGUGGUGCAUGGUUUUAUGAUAGGGUCAAAUCAAUUCACAUCAUUCUUUUCGUUCAGCAAAAAAAAUUGUAAUUGAAAGACCUACUCAGCAUAAACAGAAUUGCUUGAUCUUUAUUCACCAAGAUACAAAGAAGAAUGUGCAUUCAUAAAUAAAUACAAUUUGGAGUGGAAAUCAAAAUUAGAUUCAAUUUUCAUCAAAACAUUUGGUUGUUUACUUGGCGGACUAACUUACGUUUUUUAAAUCCAGUCUGAGGCUGAGUUUGGAUUUUGGAAGGAGAAGUUUAUCAAUAUAUUUAGUUGAUGAUUGAUUGUAUCUAUAAGCGAUAGGGAAAGCAUCAAGAAGAUAAUUUUGUAUGUGCCGUACAUCCAUAAAAUUAUAAUCCAGACAGAAUAUGAUAUGGCAUGAGAUAAAAAAAGAGGAAAGUGCAUUACAAAUUUUAUUAAACGGACUUCAUAGUACAUCCUUCCUUAUAAUUAAACGUGAACACAAAUCUCAAGUGGACUACAUUUUUUAGUUGCUUUAGUUGCUGACUAGUGCUUCCUGAAGAGGUUGUGGUAGGUUUGAAAUUUUCUCCUUGAUGAUGAGGAUUUGUUUAAGAAGGAAUCCUCUCUCUCUAUUUAUUGAAUCCUGGAAAAUUAAAGUUAAUUUUAGAAGGUGGUGUUAGGUUUUUGAGUGUAAACGAUGAAAAACUAGAAGUAGUGAUUGAUGACCAUACAUGAGUCAUAAUCUCUUCGAGAGAUGUCCCGUUAAAAUGUCUGGCAGUGUGAAUAGCGCAGGCGCUGGAUUCAUUCCUAGAUGACAUUAGGAUAACAGGAUUAGAGGAUAUCGAGAACUUGCUAAGUUAGUGUAAAGAUGGACGAUGGACUGGAAAACUUACUUUGGAAAUAUAGAAGUUGUCAGAAAAGCGAAUUUCUUCUUCCAAUUUGCACAAUCAACAUGCCAUUUAAAAAAAUCAGUAUGCAGGCAAAUAGGGCAACAUGUAGUUUGUCAGCAACAACUUCAAGCUUCUUCUUCAAUUGGCUAGUCAAUCCAGAUGUAGGAUCGAGGAUGAAAAUUGUUUUUGAUACCAUAUCCCAUGUGAAAACGACCCAUCCUGAUUCCAGUAUAGCUGGGAUGUGCCACUGCAAAAGUUCACAUUACUAAAUAUUAGAAAAUGAAGUGUUUUGGGUGUUCAUUGAAAGGGGAUAUUUAAAAAUUUCAUUACCGGUCUGCAUUGAGAUAUGUUGUAAGGAACAAGUUUCCAAAAAACUGGUCUUGGACUGAUUUCAAGAGCCAUGCCUUCUCACUAGCUAACACACUAGUCUGCAUUUUGUCGAAAGAAGAAUCAUUAGUACAGUUGUUACUAAUGCACUUAGAAAUUAGUUGAUAGCUAGAUAAACAAAAUCAUAGGAGAUAUAUGACUUUGAAAUCACUUACAGCAAAAGAAAUGUCGGCAUGGUCCAGAAUUGUUUGGAUAAAGGAAUUCUUGAUCAAUCUGACGAACGCGGCGAAUUAACAACGAGAACAAUUCGUGGUCUAUUAAAUCAGUACCAACCAGUUGGUCUGCAAUUGUCUCGCAUGUCAGCGUUAUGAACCUAGGGCAGGUGUGUGUGAGACUGAAUCUGUGUGAACAAAGAAAUAAUACAUGAUUCUUCUUGAUCAACACGCGUAGGAGGGUAGAUAGCGUCCGGUUCGUGACCUCCGGUUGGCCGUCGGUUUGAGGAUGGUAUGCCUAAGAGAACAAAAGCUUGAUUCCGAGCUUGGCGCAUAGAGUCUUCCAAAAGUAACUUAGGAACUUGACAUCGUGGUCCGAGACAAUCGUCUUUGGCACUCCAUGUAGGCGCAAUAUUUCCUUACAAAAAAGAUUUGCAACAUGUGAAGCAUCGUCUAUCUUGUUGCAUGAAAUGAAAUGAGCCAUUUUAGACAGUCGGUCCACAAUAACAAACAUGGAAUGUUUGCCAUUUCUAGUUCUAGGCAAACCAAGCACAAAGUCCAUACUAAUAUCUUCCCAUGGGUGAUACGGAAUAGGAAGUGGCAUAUAGAGGCCAUGGGAUUGAGCUUUUGACUUAGCUUUGCGGCAUGUAGAGCAUAGGUUGGUGAAACAUGAGACGUCGUGGAACAUCUUGGGCCAAAAGUAGUUCUUGGAGAGUGUGGCAAAUGUCUUGUCACAUCCGAAGUGUCCCAUAAGUCCUCCUCCAUGAGAUUCUUGCAAACAUAACAAACUAAGAGAAGACUCGGGGAUACAUAGUUUGUUCGCUCUCAUAAGAUAAUCAUCUUUGAUGUAAUAGCGUUCCCAAGAUGUAUGCGUCAAACAUUUGGCAUAUGGAAUAGCAAAAGUAGGAUCAUGCGCAUACAAGUCUUUUAUGUGCUCAAAGCCAAUGACAUUCAAUUCAAGUUUGGUAAUAAGCAUGCAUCUACGGGAAAGAACAUUCGCCACAACAUUUUCCUUACCUUUGAUGUACUUGAUGUCAUAAGUAAAAGACUCAAUGAAUUCACUCCACUUAGCAUGACACUUGUUGAACUUAGUUUGACCCUUAAGAUAUUUAAGUGUUUCAUGAUCGGUGUGGAGAAUGAACUCAUGAGGGCAGAGAUAAUGCUCCCAAACAUGCAAGACUCGAACUAAAGCAUACAGCUCUUUGUUAUAGAUGGGAUAGUUAAGUUGCGCUCCAGAAAGUUUUUCACUAAAGUAAGUUAUGGGGCGCUUCUCUUUCAUUAACACACCUCCUAUGCCAUAACCGCUAGCAUUGCAAUGUAUUUCAAAUGUCUUAUCGAAGUUGGGUAAUGCAAGCAAAGGAGCAUGUGUAAGCAAAUUCUUAAGCUCAUUAAAUGCAGUAUCUUGGGAUGGUCUCCAAAUAAAUGGUGCAAUUUUUCUUACUAAAGUCCUUAACGAAUCUACGAUAGAAGCCGGCUAAGCCAAGGAAACUUCGCACUUGUUGCAAGUUGGUUGGUUGAGGCCAAGUUUUAAUAGCAUUGAUAUUAGAUUCAUCUACAUGAACACCCUUAGAAUACACAAUGAAACCCAAGAAAACGAGCUUAUCAACAUCAAAAAGGCAUUUGUCCAUAUUAACAUAGAGGCGCUCUUUUCUAAGAGUUUGCAAAAUGAUUCUAAGAUGGGUGACAUGAUCUUUGAGGGAUUCGCCAAACACAAGAAUAUCGUCGAAAUAGACCACAACAAAUACACCAAUGUAAGGGCGAAGAACAAAAUGCAUCACACGCAUAAAGGUGUCGGGUGCUUCAGAUAAACCCAUUGGCAUGACCAACCAUUCAUACAAGCCAAACUUGGUUUUGAAAGCGGUUUUCCAUUCAUCACCUUCUUGGAUGCGUAUUUGACAGUAGCCACUUUUAAGAUCAAUUUUAGAGAAAAUUGUGGCUCCGAUAAGCUCAUCUAGCAUGUCGUCUAAGCGUGGAAUGGGGUAGCGAUAUCUAACCGUGAUAGCAUUGAUAGGACGACAAUCGAACACAUGCGAUAUGUACCAUCUUUCUUGGGAACAAGGAUUACGGGACGGCACAUUGUCUCAAACUUUCUCGUACAUGGCCAUUGUUGAUAAGUUGUUGUACUUGCUGUUGGAUCUCCUUGGUUUCCUCGGGGUUGACGCGGUAGGGAGCCUUGUUAGGAAGAGGUGCUCCGGGGAUGAGGUCGAUUUGGUGUUCGAUGCCUCGUAGUGGAGGUAGACCCAGAGGUAGCUCGUCGGGGAAUACAUCUUGGAAUUCCUGCAGUAGAGAAGAUAACACUAAAGGUAGAUUGUGCAAGGUGUUAGUUUUUGUCGCCUCGUCCUUGCACAAAAGGACAUAGUGCAUAACACUUGAUGGGUUCUCACACACUUCUCUCAUCUCACUUUUGCUAGCGAAUAGCACUAGGUUUUUCUCGUCACUCAUUGUGGAGGUACUCAAUUUGGGCUUGUGGUGCUUACUCUCUUUGUGGUGGUUCACUCUCUCUCUAUUUUCUCCAUGAUUGUGUGUUGCUUGCUUGUCGGCGAUCACUUGGCUUGGAGACAUAGGUCAUAGCACGUACUCCUUCCCUUUCAUUUUGAGGCUAUAGUGGUUGGUUCGCCCGUUGUGGAUGACGCCGCAGUCAAAUUGCCAUGGUCGUCCAAGUAGGAGGUGGCAAACAGACAUAGGAACAACAUCACACUCCAAAGUGUCUUCGUAUGCUCCAACUUUGAAGGAGACUUGGACCAUGUAUUCCACUUCAAUUGUGUCGGGGUCGCUAAGCCAUUGGACCUUGUAGGGAUGAGGGUGAUUCGUCUUGACCAAUUGGAGCUUGGAGCAUAGUUAUUCACUUGCCAAUUUAUGGAAACUUCCUCCAUUGAUGAUGACCUUCAAGGACCUUCCAUUGAUGCCCACCUUGGUGUGGAAGAUAUGACAUCUUUGGUCUUCAUCUUGUUGAUGUUUAAGAGUCAAGACCUUGGAGACAACUAGAGCGAGGCUCGAAUCUUUGUCACAAAAGACUUGGUCAUCUUCAUCUUCAUUCACUUGCCGGUGCAUAGCCACAUUCUCAAGGGCUUCCAUUUCGCCUUCAUUUAUGGAGUCGUAUGUAUCGUCAUCGUUGAGAAUCAUGGUACGCUUGUUGGUACACUCAAAGGACUUGUGGCCUCGGCCACCGCAUGUGAAGCAUUUGAUGGAACUUGUCUUGAGGAUCUCAUCUGGUGGAGUUGUAGAUGAUGAACCUCUCGGCUUGAAGUUGCUUGUAGUAGAAGGACGACUUGAGGUUGUCGAAGUUUUCUUAUAACUUGACUUGUCGUCGUUGCUUGUAGAAGGUUUGGUUGAGGUAGAAGGUGUUGUAGUCAUUGAAGCUUGAUUGUAUGCGCCAUAUGUAUUGGAAGAGUAGUUGGCAUAUUUGUAGUCAUCUUGCACUUGUUGCUCCGCUUUAGUAGCUUGAAGCACUAGCUCAAUGAGGUUUGAAUAAGGUUGGAAGUCGGUGAUCUUCUUUAUAGGGUGCUUGAGUCCAUUCAAGAAGCGUGCCGUAGUUUGCUCAUCAUCUUCUGUGGCAUUAGCUCGUAUCAUGGCGAUCUCCAUUUCCUUGUAGUACUCUUCAACAGUCUUUGUUCCUUUCUUGAGGAGUUGUAGUCACUUGAAGAGGUUGCGGUUAUAGUAUGUUGGCACAAAGCACGCUCGCAUGACAUCCUUCAUUUGAUCCCAAGUUGUUAUUGGUGGUUCACCUCUUAAUUCUCGAUGCUCAAUGACUUGUUCCCACCAUAUGAGGACAUAAUCUUGGAAUUCAAGGGAUGCCAGGCGAUCUUCUUCAUUUCCUCAUAGUUGUGCAAGUGAAAGAUCUUGUGAUGUAGGGUGGAACCCUAGAUAGCCGAUCUUUCACGAAAGGAGCGGAUCCCAACGAGGAACACGAGGGAAAACACGAGGGAAAAUGCGAGAGAAUCACUCGAACCAACAAGAUACGGUCACACAUAUGCUAGAUCCUCGAAAUACAAAGAGAUACACGAUCCAAAUCCAACAAAGGACGAUACAUAGGGUAACCGGUUCUUCUCCGUAAGGAGGUCUUGAAUCCACGGGGGAUCUUCCCGUGAGGGGUCUUGAAUCCAAGAUGGAUCUUCUCCGAAGAGGGGCCGCGGUCUCUCUCGUGGAGUAGAUCCGUAAUGGACGAGCAAAGCUCUAUCUCUAAUGAGCUACUACUUUGCUAACCCUAGAAAGGAGGUGGAGGUGGUCUAUUUAUAGUCUUAGCCACGAAGGGGUAAGUGGGAGAGGGAUACAAGGACAAAGGCCCGCGGCUGCGCACAGGCAGGUACCGGACGACCGAUGGGGGUCGGACAUCUGGUGGCCCAGGACGGUCCGGACGUCCGGUGCGCGUCAGAUGUCCACUGAUUCUUCUCGAGUGUAGUGGCACCGAUCGUCCGGUCGUCCGGUCGGCGCCGGUCGUCCGGGCGCUGGGACUCGUCGGAUGUCUGGUAUUCGUCGGACGUCCGGCCGCUAUAGCACUCGUCGCCUGGAGUUCUUCUGGCCGUCUGGGCUACACCAGGUACCAGAUGUCCAGUGGCGUCCGGACGUCCGGUGGCUGUAGCUUGUAGCAGCUCCAUCUUCUUCCGUAUUCGCUUCCACGCUUCCCUCGCGGAUGGUGUAGGUGUUCCUUGGCGCUUGCACUCAUCCACGUCGUCCGUAGCGUUCCGACAAUACAUAUGCAUGCACACGGGAGAAGUGUCAAGUAGUAUACCAUCCUUGAAGGGGUCAAGUGAACACGCGUAAAGGAGAUGAUUCACCUUUGUGUAUGUCGAGUGGAUGUCGAACGUGUCACUUGCCAAACGGACUCUUGACAUGGUGAUGUCCGUGGGAUGCUCCGCAUCAUCUCCCCUCCCUUGGGAAAGAUCCGACCUUGGAUCGAAAACCAAAUCACCAUGGGAAAGAGAUGGCGUCGCCGUGUAAGAGUGGUUGAUCACCAAGUUCUCGUCAUCUUGAAGCUUGAAAUGGGCACUCUCCAAUGUUGCACCAUCUUGGGAUUACUUCAAAAGGAGCAAAGACAACAAACACUUGGAAAAACAAAUGUGGUUAGCGUUAGUGCAAAACCAAGCAUUCAAGAGAUGAUUCACCAAACAAGUGUCGUCAUCAUGCAAAGCAUAUGGUUUGACAAAGGAUUGUGACAUGGCAUAUAAGCACAUAAAUUGAGCACAAGCAAAGAUAUCAUGGGGACAAGCAUGUAAAUGUGAGGUAGUGAUGCAAAUAUGUUGGACAAGUGAAUAAGCAUCUACCUCAAGAUCAUAGCAAACAUGGCAAUGGCAAGCAAUAUCUCCAUCAAGCUUGCAAAUACACAUACAAGUAGUAGAAUCAAUCAUCAUGUGCAAUGCAAAGCAUGGGUCACAAAUGCAUGGCAAAGGCAUAAGAAUAAUCAUAUCAUGCAAAGUGAACAUGGCAAGAUGGCCAAAUGAUAUAUAAUGGACAAUAACCCAUAGCCAAGUGUGGGCCAUGUAGAAAAAAUGCGCGAAGUCUUUGCGUGAAGAGAGCGGUGGGAAAGACAAUCCAUGGGAUCCCAAGUCAUCAUUGCUCUCUAGAGCUCAUUUUGUCAACUCAUGGGAUUGCGAGGUUGACAAGAAUUCAUGGGUACCUACACAAAAGAGACACAAAUGACUGAAAUUGUGUGUGUGGUAAAUGUACACAUCAUCCAUCAUGAUGUGUAUGUGCACGUGAAAGUGAGCACAAGAUAAGCGUUGCUCAAAGAAAUUUGAUGCAUGGUAUAAGUACAUGCCAUCCAUCAUGAAAGAAUAGUUAUUGUGUAUACCAUGAUGGGGAUGCAAAUUUAGCAUACAAGUAUAUGGCACAACAAUAGCAUUUUUAUUCAUGGGGAGCAUAUGGUGCACACAAGUGUUGUGAUCAUGCAAUGGAUGGGAGUGAUCAAAAUCUCCUAAAAUGUAUGAGGAAACUAUGGGGGUCUCCUCAUGAGCAAUAUCAGAAACAUCAUAUGGAGAAAAUGGACAACAUUCAAAACAAUGCAUAUCCGAAGCUAGGUGGUCAUGGCAUGGCAUAUGAAAUAAAUGAUGCAAAGGGAGCAUAUCAAUAUCAUCACAAGAAAAACAAAUGCCAAUAACCAUGGGCUUGUCAUCUAUGCCAUAUGUGAAAAUUGGGUUUAUUUGAAUAGAAUAUGCAUAGUCACUAUGAAGAGAUUGUAAAUAUGACAUAUGAUUGAUCUCAUGCAUAGCAUAUGACAAGUCAAGCGGAUUGGCAAACAUGAUGUGACUGAGAGAAUUAGCACAAGAAAUCCUAUGUAACAUGGCAUCACAACUAAUAGACUCCACAUGGCAAUCAUCAUACUCAUUAUAAAUGGGUAAAUCAUCGCAUGGGGAUGUCGCACUAGCAUGAAGCAUGGUAAUAGGUGGAUCAACACCAUGCAAGCAAUCAAUGUUAAGAAUGUCCACUAGUGGGACUAGAGCAUCACCUUCACCUAUUGAUGCGGAGCAUCCCAAGACCAUCCCCAUGGACCCAACUACAUCUCCUACGACACCUCUUGGACCCAUGACACGAGCACGUGCAAGAGCUCUUGAAACCGAGGUGACAUCUCUCGUCUCACAUUUCCACUUUGAUACACAUGAGACAUGGCUACUACCUCAUACAGAUACUUUGUGCAUGCUCAGGUACCACGGAGAAGCUAAGGAGCAAGGAGAAGAAGAAGAGGAAGAUGGACAUGAAGACGGAGAAGAAGAAGUGAUGAAGAGGAAGCUACAGGCUCCGGACGACCGACCUGGACUGGACGUCCGACGACCUCCAGGCUCCGGACGUCCAGCCUUCUCCGGACGACCGACGCACCCGCACCCAAGCCAAAUCUACGGAUUUCCGGAGCCCCUCGGACAACCAACGACGCCCGGACGCCCGACCCCAACCGGACGUCUGACCGAAGCACACCCGAGCCGAAAUUACGGACGUCCGACAGAUCCUCGCGAGCCUCCGGACGACCGGUGACCUCCGGACGUCCGACGCCUGUGUGCUGAUUCGUGUUGGACCGCAGCCCAUGUACCCCUUCGCCCCCGUAUUUUGCACUAAGACUAUAAAUACUCCACCUAUUCCUUCUAGCUAGGGUUAGCGUUGGUUUAGCUCAAUUUGAGACAUAGAGCUACGCUCAUCCACAUCGGAUCUACUUCUCAUGAGAGACCGCGGCCUCUUUGGAGAAGAUCCCUUUGGAUUCAAGACCCCUCUUUAGGGAAGAACAUCAAGACCUCCUCAUGGAGAAGACCGUUACCAUUGUAUCGUCCCUAGUUGAUCGUGUACCGUGUAUCGUUCCAUGUAUCCGAGGAUCUAGCACUUUUGAGACUUGUUCUUGUUAGUUGAGUGUUCCUCUUGUGUUUUCCCCUUGUGAUUCCCUCGUUUCCCUCCUCGUGUUCUUCGUGUUCUUCACGGGUUCCGCUCCUUUCGUGAAAGAUCGGCCCCUAGGGUUCCUACCCUACAUCAUCUUGGUAUCAUGAGCCACGUUGAUCAUGAUUUUGGAGCCUCCCCGUCGUGUUGCUAGCCUUGUUUUGUUGUUUUUCAUCCUAAUUCGAAAGUUCCCCACAAAAAUAGCCCCAAAUUUUUUUUGUGAUUUGUUAGUGUGUUGAGAUUUUGUUGGUUUGGAUCCGUCGAUUUGCUUUGUUUUGAGUGGAUCUGGCUUUUUCCCCCUUUCCCACCCUUUCCAUCCACAAAAUCGUCCGGAUUUGACCAUUUUCACCAUCUCCACCUCGAACCCUAGCUGUUCAUCCCGUGCCCGAAAAUCGCCUAGGCACCGGACGUCCGACCCAGCUCGGACGUCCGACGACGACCGGACGACCGGCCCAGCCCGGACGUCCGACCGACCCUGACGAAACUGAAUUUUUUCUGUGUAGUGAACACCACCGCCCCACAUUUCUGCAAACACACUCCUACCACUAUACACCAUCCUCACUUCCACAUACCACCACCAUUUUGGACCGUUUCGCACUCCGACACGUGUUGCCCCUUCAAGCUUUGAGAAUUUGAGUUGCGGUUCCGUAUCCUUUUGUGUUUCGGCUAUCUAGGUACGGUUCGACAUCGACAUCACCGCCGCUCAUCUUCACCACGGACGUGUCAUCAAUAACGACCACCUCGACUACACCUUGGUAUUCGUGCCACCAUUUUGACACCAUACCGGAAGCAAGACCGGUAACCUCGUCUUGGUAUUGGACAUAUCACUCUUGCCAUUACAUUGAUACCCAUCAUAGCCUUACUCCUUUGCGUUGCUUACCCAUCGAGACUAGCCAUUGAGUAUUGCCGGCAAUGAGACUUGUGCACAUUAGUGAUCAUACUUCCCAAAACAUACACACAUCAUUGUUGCAUAUAUUGGUAUCAUCUUGUGUCACAAAGUUGUCAUCGCAUACACAAUUGCUAUCUUGGUUCGUCAAGCAUCGCAUAAGAAAAGAGCUCCAUUGUCAAAGAGCCAAACAAGCUUUUAAGCAAAGAGGAAAGAUAAGAAAAGAGAUUUUAAGCAAGAACCAUAGCAUCAUACAACAUUAAGAUUUUCAUACUCGAUCAUCUUGGAUCAUAUCAUAGAAACACCUUGCAUAAAGCAUGCUUGGGAUAGAAGUCGUUGCAUUUUUGCUUAGUAGGUUGUGCACAAGUUCUUGUAUCCGUCUAUUGUGCAAUCGUGCUAGCGUCUCUCUAGUGUUGUGCAACAAGAGCAUUUUUGUGGAUUCCACAUUUUGGUUCACCCUUGGUUGCACGACCACACUUAUCUUUUUGCGUGUGUGUUUCCGUGUACCUUAUAUGCUUGGUCUACUUGUUACAUUGCAUCUUGCGAAUCUUUUCCAACAUUAUUGAAGCUCACUUACAAUUGCAUCAAAUUUUGUGCCACCAUCCUAACCAAGCUCCACCAAAAGCUUUUACUUGUGUAGGUGUGAGAAACCGACAAGAGCUAGUACCAAUUGUGCUAUUUCCUUGUCCUACAUUGGAGUGAUCCUCGAUCCACUUUCAACUUCGGUCAAGGUACAUUUGGUAUUCGUUCUUCUCUUUCUACCACUCACAUUUAUCUUGGAAUGAUGGAUAGGACAAGUACUUCUACCAACCCACUCUUCGUGGAGCAAGAUGACGACAUGAACUCCUUCGUCACCAAGAGUCACCUCUUUGGUGCACAACGUGCUUUGCAUCUAGAGCAACAAGCUAUGAGUGAACGCAUCGACAACCUCGCCACCAACUUGCGACUCUCCGAGCAACGUACAAGGGACUACUUCGACCACAAGCUCGACGAUCACAAGCAAGAGAAUGACGCAAGGAUGGACGAAAUUCGCGCUUUGUUGCUCAACCGCUCUUCUUCCACUUCGUCUUCAUCAACAAGGACUCGCUCAAGCCGACACUCCGACUUCACACUCUCCGGCUCAAGUACACUGACAUCGAACACUCUUCGCCAAGCCGCGCGCAACGAUCGUCAAGCAAGCCUCAAUCCCCUAUGCGACACUGACUCUCAAGAGCGCCGACGAUGUCAAACUCAAGAGGCCUUUGCGCUAGCACAAGAACGGCAACGACAACGCCAACAUGAAGAGGAAGAGCGAGCGUGUCUACACCAAGUUGCACAAGACGCCGAGGCACAACGCCAAGAAGAACAACUCUGUGAAGCUCAAGCACUUGCGGCGCAACAAGCCCUCCAAGAUUCAAGUAGAGCCGUAGCCAACCGAGGCCGACAAGCUCAAGAACAAGAAGAAGCAUUUCGCGAAGAAAUUCAAGAACGGAGAUUUCAAGCUCGCCAAGAGCAUCAAGUUCAUCAACAGCAUGAAGACAAUGGAAAUCCUCCACAACAAGAGCAACAUGAGGUUGACAACCAUCCUCACCAAGAGCGACACGAGCUUAACAAUCAACUACAACACGAGCGUCAUCAUCCCUGACCCCAACACAAUUAAGAGAAAUGCUAUGGCAAGCUCAAGUUCACCAUGCCCAAGUUCAAUGGAAGCAACGAUCCCGAAGAGUACCUUUCAUGGGCAUUGAAAGUUGACAAGAUCUUCCGUUUGCGCGAUUAUGAAGAAGAGAAGAAGAUCGCGAUGGCAUCCCUUGAGUUCCAAGACUAUGUCCUCAUUUGGUGGGAACAAGUCAUCGAGCGUCGUGAGGCAAGAGGUGAACCACCCAUCACCACUUGGGCACAAAUGAAGGAUGUCAUGAGAGCACGCUUCGUGCCUACCUACUACAGCCGCGACCUCUUUAAGAAACUCCAACUACUCAAGCAAGGAACCAAGAGCGUUGAAGAGUACUACAAGGAGAUGGAGAUUGCCAUGAUAAGAGCUAACCUCACGAAAGAUGAUGAGCAAACUAUGGCACGUUUCUUGAAUGGACUCAAUCAUCCCAUCAAGAAGAUCGCCGACUUCCAACCAUACUCAAAUCUCAUCGAGCUAGUGCACCAAGCUACCAAAGCGGAACGCCAAGUGCAAGAUGAUUUCAAGUAUGCCAAGUUCUCAUCCAAUUCCUACGGCUUCUCCAACAACCAAGCUUCAACGACUCCAACACUGACUACUAAGCCUUCUACUAGCACCAUCGACAAGUCGAGUUCCAAGAAAGCUUCGUCAACUCCAAGUCAUCCUACUACAAGCAACUUCAAGCCAAGAGCUUCACCAUCAUCAACCCCAACCGAUGUGACCGUCAAGACAAGUUCCUUCAAAUGCUUCACAUGUGGAGGCCGAGGCCACAAGUCCUAUGAGUGCACCAACAAGAGGACCAUGAUCCUCAACGACGACGGCACUUACGACUGAAUGAGUGAACAAGAAAUGGAAGCCAUCGAGCAAGUCGCCAUGCACCGGCAAGUGAACGAUGAAGAGGAACAACUCUUUUGCGAUGAAGAUUCAAGUCCCGCCCUUGUUGUCUCCAAGGUCUUGACUCUCCAACAUCACCAAGAAGAAGACCAACGAUGCCACAUAUUCCACACCAAGGCGGGAAUCAAUGGACGAUCCGUCAAAUUCAUCAUCGAUGGAGGGAGUUGUCAUAAUCUCGCAAGUGAAGAACUUUUCUUCAAGCUCCAAUUGUCCAAGACGAAGCAUCCACAUCCAUACAAACUGCAAUGGCUUAGCGACUCCGGAACCAUCCAAGUCGAGCACCGAGUACAAGUCCCCUUCAAAAUUGGCGCCUACGAAGACACCUUGGAGUGCGAUGUCGUUCCAAUGACCGUUUACCAUCUUCUCCUUGGACGCCCAUGGCAAUUCGAUAGAGGAGUCAUCCACAACGGCCGAACGAACCACUACAUCUUCAAGAUGAAGGGCAAGGAGUAUGUCCUCCGUCCAAUGUCGCCAAGUCAAGUGAUCGCCGAUAAGCAAGCCACCCAUCGUGGAGAUCAUAGUGAGAGAGCGAGCCACCAAAAAGAGAGUGAGCGCCACAAGCCCAAAUCGAACACCUCCACGAUGAGCGAAAAGAAGAACCUAGUCCUAUUUGCCACCAAAAGUGAGAUAAGAGGAGUGUGUGAGAACCCAUCUAGUGUCCUACACUACGUCGUUGUAUGCAAGGACAAUGCACCACAAACUAACACUUCUCACACUCUUCCUCUAGUGUUGUCUUCUCUUUUGAAGGAAUUUCAUGAUGUUUUUCCCGGUGAGCUACCUUCGGGACUACCUCCACUACGAGGCAUUGAGCACCGCAUCGACCUCAUCCCCGGAGCACCGCUUUCGAACAAAGCUCCCUACCGCGUCAACCCCGAAGAAACUAAAGAAAUACAAAGGCAAGUAAAGCAUCUCAUAGACCAUGGACAUGUGUGUGAAAGUUUGAGCCCUUGUGCCGUCCUGGUCAUUCUUGUGCCAAAAUGUGACGGUAGCUUUCGCAUGUGCUCCGAUUGUAGACCUAUCAAUGCUAUCACCGUUCGUAUAGGUAUCCCAUUCCAUGCCUCGACGAUAUGCUUGAUGAGCUUAGUGGUGCCACUAUCUUUUCUAAAAUUGAUCUCAAGAGUGGUUACUAUCAAAUCCGCAUACAAGAGGGUGAUGAAUGGAAAACCGCUUUCAAAACCAAGUUUGGCUUGUAUGAGUGGCUAGUCAUGCCUAUGGGUCUCUCAGAAGCACCGGGUACUUUUAUGCAUCUUAUGAAUCAUGUUUUCCGCCCUUACAUUGGUAUAUUUGUUGUGGUAUACUUUGAUGAUAUCCUUGUUUUUAGCAAAUCUCUUAAAGAUCAUGUCACCCAUGUUCGAACCAUUUUGCAAACUCUUCGGAAAGAGCACCUCUAUGCUACUAUGGAGAAAUGGCUUUUUGGCGUUGACAAGCUCGUUUUCUUGGGUUUUGUUGUUUCCUCUACGGGUGUUCAUGUUGAUGAGUCCAAGAUCAAUGCUAUCAAGACUUGGCCACAACCAACCAAUUUGGAUCAAGUGCGUAGUUUUCUUGGCCUUGCGGGUUUCUAUCGUCGCUUUGUGAAGGAUUUUAGCACCAUUGCUUCUCCUUUGCAUGCUUUGAGCAAGAAGAAUGCGCCCUUUGUUUGGGGACCAUCCCAAGAUACCGCAUUCAAUGAGCUUAAGAAUUUGCUUACUCAUGCUCCCGUGCUUGCUUUACCCAACUUCGACAAGCCUUUUGAGAUUCAUUGCGAUGCUAGUGGUAAUGGCAUAGGAGGUGUGUUAACACAAGAGAAGCGCCCCAUAGCCUACUUUAGUGAGAAACUUUCCGGAGCGCAACUCAAUUACCCCGUCUAUGACAAAGAGUUAUAUGCUUUAGUGCGCUUUUGCAUGAAUGGGAACAUUACCUUCGUCCCCCUGAGUUUAUCAUUCAUACCGAUCAUGAAAUUCUCAAGUAUCUUAAGGGCCAAACCAAGUUGAACAAGCGUCAUGUUAAAUGAGUGAAUUUAUUGAGUCCUUUCCUUAUGUCGUCAAGUACAUUAAGGGCAAAGAAAACAUUGUAGCGGAUGCACUUUCUCGCAUAUGCAUGCUUGUUACUCAACUUGAAUUGGAUGUCAUUGGUUUUGAGCAUAUCAAAGACUUGUAUGAGCAUGAUGCAACUUUUGCUACUCCUUAUGCCCAGUGUUUUUCGCACACCUCUUGGGAACGCUAUUACAUCAAAGAUGGAUAUCUUAUGAGAGCUAACAAUCUUUGCAUCCCUGAGUCUUCUCUUCCUUUAUUGCUUUUGCAAGAAUCUCAUGGAGGAGGCUUAAUGGGCCAUUUCGGAUGCGACAAGACGUUCGCUACGCUCUCGAAGAACUACUUUUGGCCCAAGAUGUUUCGUGACGUCAAUCGCUUCACCAACCGAUGCUCUACAUGUCGCAAAGCUAAGUCCAAAGCUCAAUCUCAUGGCCUUUAUAUGCCUCUACCAAUUCCAUACCAACCAUGGGAAGACAUUAGCAUGGACUUUGUACUUGGUUUCCCUAGGACUCGAAAUGGGAAAGAUUCGAUAUUUGUCAUUGUGGACCAUUUCUCAAAAAUGGCACAUUUUAUUCCUUGCAACAAGAUAGACGAUGCUUCACAUGUUGCUAAUCUCUUUUGUAGGGAAAUAUUGCGUCUACAUGGAGUGCCCAAGACGAUUGUCUCGGACUGCGACGUCAAGUUCCUUAGCUACUUUUGGAAGACCCUAUGCGCCAAGCAAGGAAUCACGCUCCUCUUCUCUAUGGCAUAUCAUCCACAAGCCGACGACCAAACGGAAGUUACGAACCGCACACUCUCCGCUCUACUUCGGGUAGUCAUCAAGAAGAACAUAAAGGAGUGGGAGGAGUGCCUACCUAUCGCCGAGUUUGCCUAUAACCGAGCAAGACAUUCAACAACCGGCAAGUCCCCCUUCGAGGUCGUCUAUGGCUUCAAUCCUUUGUCGCCAUUAGACAUUCUCCCUCUACCACUCCAAGAGCGCAUCAAUUUGGACGCAAGUGCACGUGCGACACAUCUCAAGAAGGUGCAUGAAGAUACAAGAAACACCAUCGAGCGCCAAGUUCAAUGCCUUGCGACCAAGCUCAACAUCAACAAGCAACCUAUGGUCUUCAACAUUGGUGAUCUCGUGUGGCUACACCUUCGCAAGGAUCGCUUUCCACAAGAACGCAAGUCCAAGCUGCGACCACGAGCGGAUGGACCUUUCAAGGUGCUCGCACGAUACAACGACAAUGCUUACAAGAUCGACCUCCCACGCAACAAGUACAACAUGAGCGACAUCUUCAACGUCAAAGAUCUCUCUCCCUUCCAUGGUGAUGAAGAAUUUGAUCCGAGGACGAAUCUUCCCCAAGGGAAGGGAGAUGAUGCAGAGCAUCCCAAGAGCAUCCCCAUGGACCCAACUACAUCUCCUAUGACAGCUCUUGGACCCAUGAUAUGAGCACGUGCAAGAGCUCUUGAAACUGAGGUGACAUCUCUCCUCUCACAUUUCCACUUUGAUACACAUGAGACAUGGAUACUACCUCAUACAAAUACUUUGUGCAUGCUCAGGUGCCAUGGAGAAGCUAAGGAGCAAGGAGAAGAAGAAUAGGAAGAUGGACGUGCAGACGGAGAAGAAGAAGUGAUGAAGAGGAAGCUACAGGCUCCGGACGACCGGCCUGGGCCGGACGUCCGACGACCUCCAGGCUCCGGACGUCCGGCCCUCUCCGAACGACUCAUACGUCUCCAACGUAUCUAUAAUUUUUGAUUGCUCCAUGCUAUAUUAUCUAAUGUUUUGGACAUUAUUGGGCUUUAUUAUACACUUUAUAUUAUUUUUGGGACUAAUCUAUUAACCGGAGGCCCGACCCAGAAUUGCUGUUUUUUUGCCAAUUUUAGGGUUUCAAAGAAAAGUAAUAUCAAACGGAGUCCAAACGGAAUGAAACCUUCGGGAAUGUGAUUUUCUCAACGAACAUGAUCCAGGAGACUUGGACCCUACAUCAAGCAACCAACAGGGAGGCCACGAGGUAGGGGGUGCACCUACCCCCCCCCCCCAGGCAUGCCCUCCACCCUCGUGGGCCCCCUGUUGCUCCACUGACAUACUUCUUCCUCCUAUAUAUACCUACGUACCCCCAAACGAUCAGAUACGGAGCCAAAACCCUAAUUCCACCGCCGUAAAUUUUUGUAUCCACGAGAUCCCAUCUUGGGGCCUGUUUCGGAGCUCCGCCGGAGGGGGCAUCGAUCACGGAGGGCUUCUACAUCAACACCAUAGCCUCUCCGAUGAAGUGUGAGUAGUUUACCUCAGGCCUUCGGGUCCAUAGUUAUUAGCAAGAUGGCUUCUUCUCUCUUUUUGGAUCUCAAUACAAAGUUCUCCCCCCUCUCUUGUGGAGAUCUAUUCGAUGUAAUGUUCUUUUGCGGUGUGUUUAUUGAGACCGAUGAAUUGUGGGUUUAUGAACAAGUUUAUCUAUGAACAAUAUUUGAAUAUUCUCUGAAUUCUUUUAUGUAUGAUUGGUUAUCUUUGCAAGUCUCUUCGAAUUAUCAGUUUGGUUUUGCCUACUACAUUGAUCUUUCUUGCAAUGGGAGAAGUGCUUAGCUUUGGGUUCAAUCUUGCAGUGUCCUUUCCCAGUGACAGUAGGGGCAGCAAGGGACAUAUUUUAUUGUUGCCAUCGAGGAUAACAAGAUGGGUUUUUUAUCAUGUUGCAUGAAUUUAUCCCUCUACAUCAUGUCAUCUUGCUUAAAGCGUUACUCUGUUCUCUUGAACUUAAUACUCUAGAUGCAUGCUGGAUAGCGGUCGAUGUGUGGAGUAAUAGUAGUAGAUGCAGGCAGGAGUCGGUCUACUUGUCUCGGACGUGAUGCCUAUAUACAUGAUCAUACCUAGAUAUUCUCAUAACUAUGCUCAAUUAUGUCAAUUGCUGAACAGUAAUUUGUUCACCCACCAUAAAAUACUUAUGCUCUCGAGAGAAGCCACUAGUGAAACCUAUGGCCCCCGGGUCUAUCUUCAUCAUAUUAAAUCUUCCAAUACUUAGUUAUUUUCAUUGCUUUUAUUUUACUUUGCAUCUUUAUCGUAAAAAUACCAAAAAUAUUAUCUUAUCAUAUCUAUCAGAUCUCACUCUUGUAAGUGACCGUGUAGGGAUUGACAAUCCCUUAUCGCGUUGGUUGCGAGGAUUUAUUUGUUUUGUGUAGGUGCGAGGGACUGGCGCAUAGCCUCCUACUGGAUUGAUACCUUGGUUCUCAAAAACUGAGGGAAAUACUUACGCUACUUUGUUGCACCACCCUUUCCUCUUCAAGGGAAAACCAACGCAAGUGCUCAAGAGGUAGCAAGAAGGAUUUCUGGCGCCGUUGCCGGGGAGGUCUAUGCAAAAGUCAACACACCAAGUACCCAUCACAAACCCUUAUCUCCCGCAUUACAUUAUUUGCCAUUUGCCUCUCGUUUUCCUCUCCCCCACAUCACCCUUGCCGCUUUAUUCGCCCUCUCUCUCUAUCCUCCCUCUCUUUUCUAUUUGCCUAUUUUGCCCGCUCCUCGUUUGCUUAUGUGUUGGAUUGCUUGUUUGUCACGAUGGCUCAAGAUAACACUAAAUUGUGUGACUUUACCAAUACCAACAACAAUGAUUUUAUUAGCACUCCGAUUGCUCCUCUUACUGAUGCUAAAUUUGAUAAAAGUGGGAUUGAAGAGAUCAAAACUCUAGAUGUUAAUGAACCUACUAUUUUGGAUUUCAAGGAAUUUAAUUAUGAUAAUUGCUCUUUGAUAGAUUGUAUUUCCUUGUUGCAAUUCGUGCUAAAUUCUCCUCAUGCUUAUAGCCAAAAUAAAGCUUUUACCAAACAUAUCGUUGAUGCUUUGAUGCAAUCUUAUGAAGAAAAACUUGAGUUGGAAGUUUCUAUCCCUAGAAAACUUUAUGAUGAGUGGGAACCAACUAUUAAAAUUAAAAUUAAAGAUCAUGAAUGUUAUGCUUUGUGUGAUUUGGGUGCUAGUGUUUCCACGAUCCCAUAGACUUUGUGUGAUUUGUUAGGUUUCUGUGAUUUUGAUGAUUGCUCUCUAAACUUGCACCUUGCGGAUUCCACUAUUAAGAAACCUAUGGGAAGAAUUAAUGAUGUUCUUACUAUUGCAAAUAGGAAUUAUGUGCCCAUAUAUUUUAUCGUUCUUGGUAUAGAUUGCAAUCCUUCAUGUCCUAUUAUUCUUGGUAGACCUUUCCUUAGAACGAUUGGUGCAAUUAUUGAUAUAAAAAAGGAAAUAUUAGAUUCCAAUUUCCGUUAAGGAAAGGCAUGGAACACUUUCCUAGAAAGAAAAUUAAAUUACCUUAUGAAUCUAUUAUGAGAGCCACUUAUGGAUUGCCUACCAAAGAUGGCAAUACCUAGAUCUAUCCUUGCAUUUUAUGCCUAGCUAGGGGCGUUAAACGAUAGCGCUUGUUGGGAGGCAACCCAAUUUUAUUUUUAUUCCUUGCUUUUUGCUCCUAUUUAAUAAUAAAUAAAUAAUUUAUCUAGCCUCUAUUUUGGUUGUGUGUUUUAUGUUUAAUUAGUGUUUGUGCCAAGUAGAACCGUUGGGAAGACUUGGGGAAAGUCUUGUUAAUACUGCUGUAAAAAAACAGAAACUUUAGCGCUCACGAGAACUGCUACCAUAUUUAUUUGGAAAGUUCUAUUUAGUUAAUUAUUUUUGAAGAUGAUUAAUAGAAAAAUUACUAACGUCCAGCAAUUUAUUUUAGAAUUUUUGGGGUUCCAGAUCUUGCGCUAGCUACAGAUUACUACAGACUGUUCUGUUUUUGACAGAUUCUGUUUUUCGUGUGUUGUUUGCUUAUUUUGAUGAAUCUAUGGCUAGUAAAAUAGUUUAUAAACCAUAGAGAAAUUGGAAUACAGUAUGUUUAACACCAAUAUAAAUAAAGAAUGAGUUCAUUACAGUACCUUGAAGAGGUGUUUUGUUUUCUUUCGCUAACAGAGCUCACAAGAUUUUCUACUUUAAGUUUUGUGUUCUGAAGUUUUCAAGUUUUGGGUAAAGAUUUGAUGGAUUAUGGAACAAGGAGUGGCAAGAGCCUAAGCUUGGGGAUUCCCAUGGCACCCCCAAGAUAAUCUAAGGACACCUAAAAGCCAAAGCUUGGGGAUGCCCCGGAAGGCAUCCCCUCUUUCGUCUACUUCUAUCGGUAACUUUACUUGGAGCUAUAUUUUUAUUCACCACAUGAUAUGUGUAUUGCUUGGAGCGUCUUGUAUGAUUUGAGUCUUUAUUUGUUAGUUUACCACAAUCAUCCUUGCUGUACACACCUUUUGACAGAGACACACAUGAUUCGGAAAUUAUUAGAAUAUUCUAUGUGCUUCACUUAUAUCUUUUGAGUUAUAUAGUUUAGCUCUAGUGCUUCACUUAUAUCUUUUAGAGCACGGUGGUGGAUUUGUUUUAUAGAAAGUAUUGAUCUCUCAUACUUCACUCAGAUUAUUUUGAGAGUCUUAAAUAGCAUGGUGAAUUGCUUAAAUAAUCCUAAUAUGCUAGGUAUACAAGAUUAAUAAUAAAAUUCUCUUAUGAGUGUGUUGAAUACUAUGAGAAGUUUGAUACUUGAUAAUUGUUUUGAGGUAUGGAGAUGGUGAUAUUAGAGUCAUGCUAGUUGAGUAGUUGUGAAUUUGAUAAAUACUUGUGUUAAAGUUUGUGAUUCCUGUAGCAUGCACGUAUGGUGAACCGUUAUGUGAUGAAGUUGGAGCGUGAUUUAUUUAUUGAUUGUCUUCCUUAUGAGUGGCGGUCGGGGACGAGCGGUGGUCUUUUCCUACCAAUCUAUCCCCCUAGGAGCAUGCGCGCAAUACUUUUCUUUGAUAACUUGUAGAUUUUUCCAAUAAGUAUAUGAGUUCUUUAUGAUUAAUGUUGAGUCCAUGGAUCAUACGCAUUCUCACCCUUCCACCUUUGCUAGCCUCUCUAAUACCGCGCACCUUUCGUCGGUAUCAUACACCCACCAUAUACCUUCCUCAAAACAGCCACCAUACCUACCUAUCAUGGCAUUUCCAUAGCCAUUCCGAGAUAUAUUGCCAUGAAACUUUCCACCGUUCCGUUUACUAUGACACGCUCCAUCAUUGUGAUAUUGCUUUGCAUGAUCAUGUAAUUGACAUUGUAUUUGUGGCAAAGCCACCGUUCAUAAUUCUUUCAUACAUGUCACUCAUGAGUCAUUGCAUAUCCCGGUAUACCGUCGGAGGCAUUCACAUAGAGUCAUAUUUUGUUCUAAGUAUCGAGUUGUAAUUCUUGAGUUGUAAGAAAAUAGAAGUGUGAUGAUCAUCAUUAUUAGAGCAUUGUGCCAGUGAGGAAAGGAUGAUGGAGACUAUGAUUCUCCCACAAGUCGGGAUGAGACCCCGGACGAAAAAAAGAGGCCAUAAAAAAAGGAGAAAAGGCCCAAAUAAAAAAUGAGAGAAAAAGAAAGAAGGGACAAUGCUACUAUCCUUUUACCACACUUAUGCUUCAAAGUAGCACCAUGAUCUUCAUGAUAGAGAGUCUCCUUUGUUAUCACUUUCAUAUACUAGUGGGAAUUUUUCAAUAUAGAACUUGGCUUGUAUAUUCCAAUGAUGGGCUUCCUCAAAAUGUCCUAGGUCUUCGUGAGCAAGCAAGUUGGAUGCACACCCACUUAGUUUCUUUUUGAGCUUUCAUAUACUUAUAGCUCUAGUGCAUCCAUUGCAUGGCAAUCCCUACUCACUCACAUUGAUAUCUAUUGAUGGCCAUCUCCAUAGCCCGUUGAUACGCCUAGUCGAUGUGAGACUAUAUUCUCCUUUUUGUCUCCUCCACAACCACCAUUCUAUUCCACCUAUAGUGCUAUGUCCAUGGCUCACACUCAUGUAUUGCAUGAAGAUUGAAAAAGUUUUGAGAAUGUCAAAAGUAUGAAACAAUUGCUUGGCUUGUCAUCGGGGUUGUGCAUGACUUAAAUACUUUGUGUGGUGAAGAUAGAGCAUAGCCAGACUAUAUGAUUUUGUAGGGAUAACUUUCUUUGGCCAUGUUAUUUUGAGAAGACAUAAUUGCUUAGUUAGUAUGCUUGAAGUAUUAUUAUUUUUAUGUCAAUAUUUAACUUUUAUCUUUAAUCUUUCGGAUCUAAAUAUUCAUACCACAAUUAAGAAGAAUUACAUUGAAACUAUACCAAGUAGCAUUCCACAUCAAAAAUUCUGUUUUUAUCAUUUACCUACUCAAGGAUGAGCAAAAAUUAAGCUUGAGGAUGCUUGAUACGUCUCCAACGUAUCUAUAAUUUUUGAUUGCUCCAUGCUAUAUUAUCUAUUGUUUUGGACAUUAUUGGGAUUUAUUAUACACUUUUAUAUUAUUUUUGGGACUAACCUAUUAACCGGAGGCCCAGCCCAGAAUUGUUUUUUUUCUAUUUUAGAUUUUUGAAGAAAAGGAAUAUCAAACAGAGUCCAAACGGAAUGAAACCUUCGGGAACGUGAUUUUCUCACCGAACAUGAUCCAGGAGACUUGGACCCUACGUCAAGCAACCAACAGGGAGGCCACGAGGUAGGGGGCGCNNNNNNNNNNNNNNNNNNNNNNNNNNNNNNNNNNNNNNNNNNNNNNNNNNNNNNNNNNNNNNNNNNNNNNNNNNNNNNNNNNNNNNNNNNNNNNNNNNNNNNNNNNNNNNNNNNNNNNNNNNNNNNNNNNNNNNNNNNNNNNNNNNNNNNNNNNNNNNNNNNNNNNNNNNNNNNNNNNNNNNNNNNNNNNNNNNNNNNNNNNNNNNNNNNNNNNNNNNNNNNNNNNNNNNNNNNNNNNNNNNNNNGCUCCACCGACGUACUUCUUCCUCCUAUAUAUAGCUACGUACCCCCAAACAAUCAGAUACGGAGCCAAAUCCCUAAUUACACCGCCAUAACUUUCUGUAUCCAUGAGAUCCCAUCUUGGGGCCUGUUCCGGAGCUCCGUCGGAGGGGGCAUCGAUCACGGAGGGCUUCUACAUCAACACCAUAGCCGCUUCGAUGAAGUGUGAGUAGUUUACCUCAGACCUUCGGGUCCAUAGUUAUUAGCUAGAUGGCUUCUUCUCUCUUUUUGGAUCUCAAUACAAAGUUCUCCCCCUCUCUUGUGGAGAUCUAUUCGAUGUAAUCUUCUUUUAAGGUGUGUUUGUUGAGACCGAUGAAUUGUGGGUUUAUGAUCAAGUUUAUCUAUGAACAAUAUUUGAAUCUUCUUUGAAUUCUUUUAUGUAUGAUUGGUUAUCUUUGCAAGUCUCUUCGAAUUAUCAGUUUGGUUUUGCCUACUAGAUUGAUCUUUCUUGCAAUGGGAGAAGUGCUUAGCUUUGGGUUCAAUCUUGCGGUGUCCUUUCCCAGUGACAGUAGGGGCAGCAAGGCACGUAUUGUAUUGUUGCCAUCGAGGAUAACAAGAUGGUGUUUUUAUCAUAUUGCAUGAAUUUAUCCCUCUACAUCAUGUCAUCUUGCUUAAAGCGUUACUCUGUUCUCUUGAACUUAAUACUCUAGAUGCAUGCUGGAUAGCGGUCGAUGUGUGGAGUAAUAGUAGUAUAUGCAGGCAGGAGUCGGUCUACUUGUCUCAGACGUGAUGCCUAUAUACAUGAUCAUACCUAGAUAUUCUCAUAACUAUGCUCAAUUAUGUCAAUUGCUCAACAGUAAUUUGUUCACCCACCGUAAAAUACUUAUGCUCUCGAGAGAAGCCACUAGUGAAUAUGGCCCUCGGGUCUAUCUUCAUCAUAUUAAAUCUUCCAAUACUUAGUUAUUUUCAUUGCUUUUAUUUUAUUUUGCAUCUUUAUCAUAAAAAUACCAAAAAUAUUAUCUUAUCAUAUCUAUCAGAUCUCACUCUCGUAAGUGACCGUGUAGGGAUAGACAACCCCUUAUCGCGUUGGUUGCGAGGAUUUAUUUGUUUUGUGUAGGUGCGAGGGACUGGCGCGUAGCCUCCUACUGGAUUGAUACCUUGGUUCUCAAAAACUGAGGGAAAUACUUACGCUACUUUGCUGCACCACCCUUUCCUCUUCAAGGGAAAACCAACGCAAGUGCUCAAGAAGUAGCAACGCCCGACGCCCCCACACCCGAGCCAAAUCUACGGAUUUCCGGAGCCCCUCGGAUGGCCGACGACGCCCAGACGUCCGACCCCGACCGGACGUUUGACCGAAGCAAACCCGAGCCGAAAUUAUGGACGUCCGACAGGCACCGGACGUCCGGACCCUCGUGAGCCUCCGGACGACCGGUGACCCCCGGACGUCCGACGCCUAUGUGCUGAUUUGUGUUGGGCCGCAGCCCAUGUACCCCUUCACCCCCCUCUUUUGCACUAAGACUAUAAAUACUCCACCUAUUCCUUCUAGCUAGGGUUAGCGUUGGUUUAGCUCAUUUUGAGAGAUAGAGCUACGCUCAUCCACAUCGGAUCUACUCCUCGUGAGAGACCGCGGCCUCUUUGGAGAAGAUCACUUUGGAUUCAAGACCCCUCUUUAGGGAAGAACACCAAGACCUCCUCACGGAGAAGACCGUUACCAUUGUAUCGUCCCUAGUUGAUCGUGUACCGUGUGUCGUUUCAUGUAUCCGAGGAUCUAGCACUUUCGAGACUUGUUCUUGUUAGUUGAGUGUUCCUCUUGUGUUUUCCCUAGUGAUUUCCCUUGUUUCCCUCCUCGUGUUCUUCGUGUUCUUCACGGGAUCCGCUCCUUUUGUGAAAGAUCGGCCCCUAGGGUUCCAACCCUACAUCACCUAUGUUACCUUUGUCAUUCCACUCAUGUGGUGUAGGUGAGGUGGGAAAGACCAAAUGGUGGUCAUCUUCAUCUUGAUGGAACCAUGUGGGGGUUGCAUCAUAUUCCACCAUGGCCAUCGUCUUGUCCAAAGGGAGGACGUAGUCGUCGUGAAUCAGCGCGUCAUCAUAUAUGGGACCUAGCACCAAAUGAGAAGACACAGUAGAGGUAGAGGUCAAGUUGUUAGAAAUGAAAAUGGCCUCACAUGCCCUAUCAACUUUCACACUCUCUCUAUGUGGUGGUUCACUCACUCCCUCAAAAUAGGUGCACUCAAACUCACGUAUGGUGGAGUCACUCAUCUCACUCAAGUGGUGGGGGUUGUGGCUCUCCUCACAUGGGAAUUGUGGCAACACAUCAUAUGUUGAGCUAGUGGUGAAGUCACUCUCACUCUCAAUAUGGUGGCUAAAGUCACUCAAGUCAACAUAUGUCGUCGUGGUCGAAGGGAAAAUCCCAUGCUCAACCAUCUCGCUGUCGUCACCAUGGAUGAAGGCCGAAGAUGCCACAUCAUCACUCUCGCCUCCUUAGAUGGAAGCAUCCUCUGUGCUCGUCACCAUGUCGCAUGCCUCCAAAGCAUGUUCCUUGAUUGGCUCCAUAGUCGUAGUCAUCGCCACACCUUCGUGAUAAAGAGUCGAAGUAGACUCGGCACCAUCAAUGCCACAAAGAGGGAUGGCGAUGAACUCGAACUUGGGAGCAUCGUCUUGGAGCCGAUCGGGCUUGGACAUCUUGGUGGUACUAUCCUCAUUCUCGCCUUCUUGGAGCUUGGCCUUCGAGAAGUGUGAUCGGGGUGGAGAAGCCUUGGCCUUCAUGAGUUCUUGUUCCGCCUUGAGAGCACCAAUGUAGUAGUCAUCGAGGGACUUGUAGUUCUCGAGGAAGAGAGUCUUGGAGAUGUCAUUGUGCAAUCCCAUCAUGAAGUGGAACUUCAUCGGAAUGGGGUCGUCCACGCCUGCACAUCGCAAGGCUUUCUUCAUCUCCUUGAAGUACUCGUCGAUGGACUUGGAUCCUUGGAUGGUGUUCUCUAAUUGGCGUAGAAGUUGUUCCGUGUAGGUUGGAGGCACGAACUCUCGCUGCAUAGCUCUCUUCGUCUUGGGCCAACUCAUGUCGUAGGUCCUCGAAGGUGCGUGAAGCCACUAUGUGGACGUGUAGUCGUGGAAGUUCCUUGUGGCGCACAUCACUUGAUCUUCGGGGGGAACUUGAUGUAGCUUGAGGUAGUCGUCCAUCAAACUCUCCCACUCAAGAUACUCAUCGGGUUCUACAGUCCCAUAGAAAGGAACCUCAUGGUUGAUGUCCAGGUCAUAGUAGCUCGUGGAAGUUGCGGACUUGAGCUUGGGGAGCUUCUCUUGAAGUGCUUGUGGGAGAAGAUGACGUAUGUCCGUAGGCGAAAAUGCCUUGAAGUCGCUUGGCAAAGAUGCCAAGGGAGAUGGUGAAGUCAUUGAGCGGUUGUUGGUGUUGAGCUCUUGAUCUUCACGUCCUUGUUGGUGAUGGUGUCGAUGCCGAUGUGAUUUUGCCGGAGAUGGUAGCUCAGAGACAUGUGCUCUUGAGCGUCUUAUCGAAGAUGAGGAAGAUCGCUUGUACCACUUGAUGAGGACUUUGAUCUCCUCCAUUUGAGCUUGUAUCUUGGCAUCGGUGGAGUUGAUCAUGGCAUCGAACUCGCCGUUGUUGUUGUAGACCGAAGAUGAAAUGCCUUGCCUCUCCAUCACAAGACUCGAGCCAAUAUGAGUGGGAGAAAGAUAAGAACUAUACCAAAUGUACCUUGACCGAAGUUGAGGAUGGAUCAAUGAUCACUCAAUGAUGUUACAAGGAAAUAGCACAAUUGGUACCAAUUCUUGUCGGUUUCUCACACCUCCACAAAUAAGGCUUAUGGUGGAGCUCGGUGAGGAUAGUGGCACAAAAAUUUGAUGCAAAAUGUUAGCAAGAGUCAAUAAUGUUGAAAGAGAUCCACAAAUUUGCAAGUGAAACAAGUAGACCAAUAGCAAUGAAUGGCACACGGAAACACACACACGGAUAGAUAAAUGGGGUCGUGUAACCAAGGAUGAGAACAAAAUGUGGAAUCCAUGGAAAACGCUCGUGUUGCACAACUCAAGAGAGACACUAGCAUGAUUUCUCAAUAGGCGGAUACGACACUUGUGCACAACCUAUAAGAUGCAAAAUGUAUGAGCUUUCUAUCCCAAGUAUGCUAUGUAUGAUGUUCCAGUGGUAUGAUCCAAGAUGAUUGGAUAUGACAAUCUUAUAUGCAAUGUGGCAUGAUGCUAUGGCACUUGCUUACAAGCUCUUUGUUCACUCUUUUUUUUCUUAAAAGCUUUAUUUUUUUUGUAUAUGGCCACAAUGCGAAAUGCACAAACCAAGAUAGCAAUUGUAUAUAUGCGGGAACAAACUUGAGGCACACGAGAUGAUAUGAUACCAAUAUGAUAUGGUAUGUAUGCAAUAGAUGGUGUAGAUCACUAAUGUGCACAAGUAUCGUUGCCGGCAAUACUCAAAUGGCUAGUCUCGAUAGGCAAGUGACACAAAAUGGGCUAGGGGUUAUCAAUACAAUGGAAAGGGAAUAUACAAUGGAGGGAUACCACAAUACCAAGAUGAUAUGGAGGUUACCCUCCUUGGCGAUGAUGAGUGGCGGUGUUCUUGAUGUAGAUACCAAGAUGAUGGAGACUCGUCCCUAAGUAGCCGAAACACCUUAGGAAACAGAAAAACCGCGAACUCAAAAUCUCAAACGUCAAACGUCAAAUGGUGGUAGCGGGAUGUGGUGGUGGAAUGAUGGGUUAUGCGAGUAGGCAAUGCGGAAGUGGAGAUUAGGAUGGUGGACUAUACAUGGUGUCGGAGUUGGAAGCACGGUGCCUAAGUAGCCGAAACACCUUAGGAGACACAACUCAGAACACAAACAAAAUUGGGUUAAGUUGGGGUGGCGGAAGUGUAUGGUGGGUAAGCCUAUGCGGUAGUGGUGGUGGUGGUUGAUGAAGAAGCAACUGUCCCUAAGUAGCCUAGACACAUUAGGAGACUCAAAUCACUCCCCAAGCAACCACUAAUGCGAAGGGGAACAAAAUUGGUGAGGUUGCGGAAGUCGGUGGUGGUGUAGCGGAUGAUGUGGUGGAAGACCUAGGCAAAGAUGCGAAAGUUCACAAAAUUUGAUGGAUUCAAAAGAUGUUGGUGGUAUUUUUGUGGGAAGGGGGAUGUCAAGAGCUUCAAAACGAGCUAAAGAACGUCAAAAUCGGAGUUUGGAUGAAUUAGUUAUGGACGAAACAAAAUUUCAGCGAAGUCAGUUUUUCAGGUUAUGGACGUCCGUAAAAUGACGGAUGUCCGGGGGCCGGACGUCCGGGCAGGCUCGGAAAUCUGUAAACUUGGCUCAGGUUAGGGGUUCCGGAUGUCCAGAAAAGGUCGGAUGUCCGGUGUUUCCUAGGGCUCUGGACGUCUGUAAAACGUCGGUCGUCCGGUGGGUCGGGGUCAACGCGAGAUGCGAGUUUCGGGACGCGAUUUUGGACGUAAUUUGGGGAUUUUAGGGUCAAAAUUCAGGAGAUUUCAUGGAUGGAAAGUGGGGAAACUUGGGGAGAUGCUAGAUCCACUUGAAACCAAGCAAAUCCGUGGAUCAAAUCUAACAAAACUUCAUCAAACUAACAAAUCACAAAAAUUGGGGCUAUUUUUGUGGGGAAUUUUCGAAUUAGGGACAAAAUCAACAAAAACAAGGCUAGAAACACAACGGGGAGGCUCCGAAAUAGUGAUCAACGUGGCUCUAGAUACCAAGAUGAUGUAGGGUGGAACCCUAGAUAGCCAAUCUUUCACGAAAGGAGCGGAUCCCAACGAGGAACACGAAGAAUACAAGGGAAAACACGAGGGAAAACGCGAGAUAAUCACUCAAACCAACAAGAUACGGUCACACAUAUGCUCGAUCCUCGAAACACAAAGAGAUACAUGAUCCAAAUCCAACAAAGGAUGAUACAUAGGGUAACCGGUUCUUCUCUGUAAGGAGGUCUUGAAUCCACGGGGGAUCUUCCCGUGAGGGGUCUUGAAUCCAAGAUGGAUCUUCUCCGAAGAGGGGCCGCAGUCUCUCUCGUGGAGUAGAUCUGUAAUGGAUGAGUAAAGCUCUAUCUCUAAUGAGCUACUACUUUGCCAACCCUAGAAAGGAGGUGGAGGUGGUCUAUUUAUAGUCUUAGCCACGAAGGGGUAAGUGGGAGAGGGGUACAAGGCCAAAGGCCCACGGCUACGCACAGGCAGGUACUGGACGACCGGUGGGGGUUGGACAUCCGGUGGCUCAGGACGGUUCGGACGUCCGGCGCACGUCGGAUGUCCGUUGAUUCUUCUCGGGUGUAGUGGCACCGGUCGUCCGGGCGGCGCCGGUCGUCCGGGCGCUGGGACUCGUCGGACAUCCGGUAUUCGUCGGGCAUCCGGAUGCUGUAGCACUCAUCGCCUAGAGUUCUUCUGGCCGUCUGGGCUGCACCAGGUACCGGAUGUCCGGUGGCGUCCAAACGUUCGGUGGCUGUAGCUUGUAGCAGCUCCGUCUUCUUCCGUCUUCGUUUCCACACUUCCCUCGCGGAUGGUGUAGGUGUUCCUUGGCGCUUGCACUCCUCCAUGUCGUCCGUAGCGUUCCGACAAUACCUAUGCAUGCACACGGGAGAAGUGUCAAGUAGUAUACCAUCCUCGAAGGGGUCAAGUGAACACGCGUAAAGGAGAUGAUUCACCUUUGUGUAUGUGGAGUGGAUGUCGAAUGUGUCACUUGCCAAAUGGACUCUUGACAUGGUGAUGUCCGUGGGAUGCUCUGCAUCAUCUUGUCAACCUUCAAUGCCCAUGAAAGGUACUCUUCGGGAUUAUUGCUUCCAAAAAUCUUGGGCAUGGUGAACUUGAGUUUGUCGUAGCAUUGCUCUUCAUUGUGUUGGGGUCGAGGGUGAUGACGUCCUUGACGAGGAGGAUUGUCUCCCUCAACUUGCUCUUGGUGUGGAGGAUUCCCAUUGUCUUGUUGCUCUUGGCGAAUGUGUGGUUCUUGCCAAGCUUGUGGAGGAGCUUGUGGAACUUGUCGGUGCAAUUGUGCUUGAUAGUUCCUUUCUUGAACUUCAUCGCGAAGUGCUUCUUAUUGCUCACGAGUAUGUCGGUUGCGUGUGGCAACGGCACGACUUGUGUAUCGAAGGGCACAUUGCACCUCAAGUGCUUGAGCUUCUCGUCGUUGUUGUUGUUGACAGAGAGUUUAGGCAUCUUGCUCGUCUUGGUGUUGGCAUGCUCGCUCUUCCUCUUGUUGGUGUAGGCGUUGCCAUUCUUGUGCUUGCGCAAAGGUAGCUUGAUUUUAACGAUGUCGAUGUUUUUGCGCUAGAAGUUGCUCUUGAGGAUCGGUGUCGUGUAGAGGAUUGCGGUUUACUUGAUGGUCUUGGCGCGUGGCUCGACAAAGAGUGUUCGACGUCGAUGUACUUGAGCCGGAGAUGGUGUCGUCGGAGUGUCGACUCGAUAUAACACCCACGAUGCGGCUAUAUCUCCCACGUGUCGGAGCACGACUUAGAGGCAUAACCGCAUUGUAGACAAUGUCGCAAGAGGGGUAAUCUUUACACAACCCAUGUACUGAAUAAGAAAGAGGUACAUAGCUGGCUUACAAUUGCCACUUCACACAAUAACAUAAAUAUAGCAUUACAAUCAUCCAGAUACAAUCAAGGUCCGACUACGGAACCAAAAUAAAGACAACCACAAAUGCAUAAGAUCCCCGAUCGCCCCAACUGGGCUCCACUACUGUUCAUCUGGAAAGGAAACGUAGUAACAUCGUGAGUCCUCAUCGAACUCCUACUUGAGCUCAGUCGCAUCUUCUGGAAUGACAUCAUCGGCACCUGCAUCUGGUUUUUGGAAGUAAUCUAUGAGUCACGAGGACUCAGCAAUCUCACACCCUCGCAAUCAAGACUAUUUAAGCUUAUGGGUAGGUAAAAGAUAUGAGAGGUAGAGCUGCAGCAAGCACUAGCAUAUAUGGUGGUUAACAUACGCAAAUGAGAGCGAGAAGAGAAGGCAAAGCACAUUCGAGAAUCUAUGAUCAAGAAGUGAUCCUAGAAAUACUUAUGUUCAAGCAUAACCCGAGACCGUGUUCUCUUCCCGGACUCCGCCGAAAAGAGACCAUCACGGCUACACACGUUGUUGAUUCAUUUUAAUUAAGUUAAGUUUCAGGUUUUCUACAAUCGGACAUUAACAAAUUCCCAUCUGCCCAUAACCACGGGCACGGCUUUCGAAAGUUCAAAUCCCUGCAGUGGUGUACCAACUUAGCCCAUCACAAGCUCUAACGGUCAUCAGACUCGGAAUCCCGGUUACAAGACAUCUCAAAAAUGCUAAAACUAAACCAUCAAAGCCACCCGAAUGUGCCAACAAAUCCCGAUAGGAGCUGCACAUAUCUCGUUCUCAGGGCACACCGGAUUGUCCAAGGUUCGGUAGGCCAGCCCAGAGUUGCCCCUGGUUGCCACCGGCAGCUGACAGGUUGGACCAACACUCAGAGGAGCACUGGCCCGGGGGUUUAAAAUAAAGAUGACCCUUGAGUCCGCAGAACCCAAGGGAAAAAGGCUAGGUGGCAAAUGGUAAAACAAAUGUUGGACCUUGCUGGAGGAGUUUUAUUCAAGGUGGACUGUCAAGGUGUUCCCAUUAUACCCAACCGUGUAAGGAACGCAAAAUCAAGGAACAUAACACCGGUAUGACGGAAACUAGGGUGGCAAGAGUGGAACAAAACACUAGGCAUAAGGCCGAGCCUUCCACCCUUUACCAAGUCUAUAGAUGCAUUAAAGUAGACAAGGCAUAAUAGUGAUAUCCCAACAAUAAACAUGUUCCAACAAGGAACAAACUCCAAUCUUCACCAGCAACUAGCAACGCUAUAAGAGGGGCUGAGCAAAGUGGUAGCAUAGCCAAACAAUGGUUUGCUAGGACAAGGUGGGUUAGAGGUUUGACAUGGCAAUAUGGGAGGCAUGAUAAAGCAAGUGGUAGGUAUCGUAGCAUAGGCAUAGCAAUAGAGCGAGCAACUAGCAAGCAAAGAUAGAAAUGAUUUCGAGGGUAUGGUCAUCUUGCCUGCAGAGUUCUCCGAGUUGACGUAAGCUUGAUCCUCGUAACCGUACUCAACGGAUUCCUCGUUCAUGUACUUGUCUCCCGGCUCUACCCAAAGCAAGAACACAAGCAAAGGGAACCACGAUCAACCACGGUGCAAUGCACAAGCAACAUGAUGCGAGACAUGGCAUGAUAUGCGGGAUGUGAUAUGCAAUGCAUAUGCAUGCUCCGGAAGGAAAGGAUUGAACCAGGCCUCAACUUGGCAAACCAAGCGCGCCGCUGGAAAGAUGGGUUGAUUUCGGUCAAAAUUGAUAUAAAGAUCACCGGAAUCGGAUGCACGGUAUGCAAAUGGCAAGCAAAACAAUAAUGGCACAAAGUUGCGAUUAACAGCAUGAUGCCAUCUAGAAUGCAUCAAGAAAAUAAGCUACUGCACUCUAACAUAGCAACAAAGCACAUGGAAGUGAUCCACUCAAGAUUCUUGACAAAAUAUGAACACUAAGCUACGACUAAAUCACCCAAUAGCAGGUUCAAACAAGCAUGGCAAAAGUGCAAAAGAUAUCAGGUUCACAGACUUCGUGAAAAUAACAACAUGCCAGGAUUUAACAUCAGCAAGCAAUGUUUAGAGCAAGAUAACAACAUGCUACAGGAACAUAUCAUGGCAAAGCAAGGCAUGGCAUGAAACUACUCAAAGCAUAUAACAAAAGUCCCUUACUGACCAUAAGCCAAAAAGGAUCAGAAAAUACAAUGGCAACCACGUAAACAUAGAAAGUUUCGUUAGCAGAUUCAGACUUUGCAGAAAACUGGAACAUGGCAAAACAGAGUUACGUAGGCAUGUUUGCGAGCUCGAUGCACUCACCAAAAGGCAUUGCAUGACAAACUAAGUAUACACCCAGUAGGAAGACAUGAUCAAUAAGCUAACCAUGGCAAGAACACUCUCAUAGCAUGCAUGGAACAACUACAACAACCUCGGCAAAAUUGAUUAACACGUAAACAAUCCGCCAGGAACAUUUUAUAGCAAAAGUAGAGCAAGAUUGAGUCAUGCUAGGGUGCUCCAUAAUUGCAAACAAAGACAUGGAUGGAUAGAGCAUAAAAAUAUCUCAAAAUCAUCCUUACUGAACAUGCUCAAAAGAGGCAUGGAUAACUCUGUAGCAACAUGAAUACAUGGCAUAAAAAUAACAUCAGGGAAAUGACUUGGAAGAAUUCUAAGUCCCUGAAAUCAGCAACAUCAUGAGAGCUACUUUGCAUGCUUGUGCUAGUCACCACAAAGAUCACAAAAAUACAUGGCAUACACCCCUGUAAAGAUGGCAUGGCAUAGCCCAAAACACAUGUAGGGCUCAAGUUCAUAGGAGGCACACAUUAAACAUGGCAAAAAUGACAAAUGUCCAUAAUCUGAUAAGAAUCAGAAACAUUACAUAGUACUCUUACAACAGCAUUUAGGGCAUCAAGAUGAGCUCAAAUGAACAUGGUGCAAUGGAAUUAAAUGAAGUACACAUCUAGACGAACAAUUUGAUAUGCUACACACCCAAAACGGAGCUACAGAUGCAAAGUUAUGACAUGAUGAAAAUGCCUAAAAAUACUGAAAACUUAGGGGAAAACGAGGUCAACCCUAGGGUUACUGUAGCAGAUCUGGAUUGGGCGCGUUGGACGAGGUUCGACGGGGCCUUCGCCGGAGUUGAGCGUGAAGGAGGAAGGAGAAGGCCGAAGUGGAGAUCCGGCGUCGCGGAGCUCGCCGGUGGGCGGGGGCAGAGCCGGNNNNNNNNNNNNNNNNNNNNNNNNNNNNNNNNNNNNNNNNNNNNNNNNNNNNNNNNNNNNNNNNNNNNNNNNNNNNNNNNNNNNNNNNNNNNNNNNNNNNNNNNNNNNNNNNNNNNNNNNNNNNNNNNNNNNNNNNNNNNNNNNNNNNNNNNNNNNNNNNNNNNNNNNNNNNNNNNNNNNNNNNNNNNNNNNNNNNNNNNNNNNNNNNNNNNNNNNNNNNNNNNNNNNNGGCGGCCGGAGCACCGGGCGGCGCUGGCGCGGGUCGCCGGAGAUGGGGAGAGCGGCGCGGCCGACGAGGUAGCAGAUCGGCGGCAGGGCAAAGGAGCGAGGCGGUAGAGCGGACGGACUUCGCACGGGCCGGGAGGGCCCCGCCUGGGCCUCGGCGGGCCGGGGCGCGGGCAGGAGCGGUGGUGUGGGAGCAGGGCGGCGGCGAAUCCGGCGAUGACGUGUGGCGGCGGACGGCGGGAUUUUUGUCCGGCGCCGCCCGGACACGUCUGGCGGCGUGGAGGGGAUUGGAAGCUAGGGUUUCAUCCGGAUUUUGGAGAGGGUUGCACAUAUUUAUAGGUAGAGGGAUUUUGGAGUGUCCAAAUGAGGUGUGGUUUUUGUCCACACGAUCAUGAUUGAACAACCGAGAUGAUGGAGGGGGUUUAGGUGGGUUUUGGGCCACUUUGGAGAGGUGUUGGGCUGCAACACACACAAGGCCUUUACGGUUCCUCGGUUAACCGUUGGAGUAUCAAACGAAGUCCAAAUGGCAUGAAACUUGACAGGCGGUCUACCGGUAGUAUACCAAGGCCGCUCGGCAAGUCUCGGUCCAAUCUGAGAAUGUUUAACACCCGCACAUGAAAAGAGGCAAAAGGGGACACCGGAGGACAUAGGAGCGCCUGAAUGCAAAACGGACAACGGGGAAAAUGCUCAGAUGCAUGAGACAAACACGUAUGCAAAUGUGAUGCACAUGAUGACAUGAUAUGAGAUGCACGACAAAGACAAAGAACAAAACAAAGACAAAACCCAACCAUGAGGGAAUAUCAUAACUUAGUGCCGGAAAUGGCAAGAGUUGGAAUACAAAUAUGGCAAGUUACAUAUGGGGCGUUACAACACUCCACCACUACGAAAGGAUCUCAUCCCGAGAUCUAGGACUGGAAAAACUCCGAGUAUUCGGAACGGAGGUGGUCCUCGUGUUCCCAGGUGGCUUCAUGGUCAGAAUGAUGUGACCACUUCACUUUCAGGAAUUUGAUAGACUUGUUGCGAGUCUUGCGCUCAGUUUCUUCAAGAAUAGCAAUGGGAUGCUCAUGAUAAGACAGGUCUUCUUGGAGAUCAAUCUCUUUGAAGUUGAUGGUGCGGUCAGGAGUCUUGAAACACUUGCGAAGCUGAGACACGUGAAACACGUCGUGCACGUUUGCAAAGUUGGAUGGAAGCUCAAGUUGAUAGGCGAGAUCGCCUCUUUUGCCAAUGAUCUUGAAAGGACCAACGUAUCUAGGGGCAAGCUUCCGUUUGAUACUGAAGUGACGAGUACCUUUCAUUGGAGUGAUGCGGAGGUAGACAUGGUCUCCGAUCUCGAAAGCCAAGUCAUGAUGCUUGCUCUCAUAGUAACUCUUCUGGCGCGAUUGCGCGGAUUUGAGAUUUUCACGAAUGACUUUGCACAUUUCCUCAGCCUCUGUGAUCAAGUCAUUGCCAAGAAGUUGGCAUUCACCAGUCUCUGACCAGUUAAGAGGAGUACGACACUUCCUGCCAUGGAGAAUCUUGAAUGGGGCCUUGCCCGAACUCGCUUAAAAGCUGUUGUUGUAGGAGAACUCGGCAUAUGGAAGACAAUCUUCCCACUUCAUACCAAAAGAAAAGACACAUGCCCUGAGCAUAUCUUCAAGAAUUUGAUUGACUCGCUCGACUUGGCCACUAGUUUGAGGAUGAAAAGCUGUGCUGAAGCGAAUGUUGGUGCCCAUGGCCUUCUGGAAGGAAUUCCAAAACUUAGAAGUAAAGAUGCUUCCACAAUCUGAAGAUAUCAACUGUGGAAUGCCAUGCAAGGAGACAAUCCUGGAGGUAUAUAGCUCUGCCAACUGAGCUGCUGUGAUAGAUUCUUUGAUAGGAAGAAAAUGAGCCACUUUGGUGAGCUUGUCGAUGACAACAAAGAUAGCAUCAUUGCCACGCUUGGACUUUGGAAAUCCAGUCACGGAGUCCUCAAUAUGGUCAAACUUCCAUUCUGGAAUGGCAAGAGGUUGGAGGAGACCAGCUAGUCGUUGGUGUUCUGCUUUCACUCUUCUGCAGACAUCACAUUCAUUCACGAACUAAGCAAUCUCGCGCUUCAUUCGAGUCCACCAAUAUGACUGCUUGAGGUCAUGGUACAUCUUUGUACUUCCAGGAUGAAUAGACAUGAGUGAAUUGUGAGCCUCGUUCACAAUGACUUUACGAAGGUCACCCUUAGGAACAACAAUGCGAUCCUCGAAGAAUAGAGUAUCCUUGUCAUCAAGGCGAUAGCACUUGUACUUGGAUUGACUCUUGGCAAUCCCAAUCUUCACCUUCUUCACCAUAGCAUCAAGAAGUUGAGCCUCAUGAAUCUGAUCUUCCAAAGUAGGAGAGACUUGGAGGUUGGCAAGGAAUCCUUGAGGAACAACUUGGAGAUUAAGUUUGCGGAAAGCUUCACAAAGCUCCGGUUGGAAGGGCUUGAGAAUCAAACUGUUGCAGUAAGCCUUUCUGCUCAAUGUGUCAGCAAUGACAUUGGCCUUGCCUGGAGUGUAUUCAAUACUCGGAUUAUACUCUUGAAUCAUUUCGACCCAACGAGUCUGCCUGAGGUUGAGGUUGGGCUGAGUGAAGAUGUACUUGAGACUCUUAUGAUUAGUGAAGAUGUCCACUUUCCUUCCCAACAAGAGAUGUCUCCAUGUUAAAAGAGCAUGGACAACUGCCGCCAACUCGAGGUCAUGAGUGGGGUAGUUCCUUUCGUUGGGCUUCAACUGGUGAGAGGUAUAGGCCAUGACUUUCUCCUCUUGCAUUAACACAGCACCGAGACCUUGUAGGGAAGCAUCACAGAAAACCUCGAAUGGUUUGGAUUCAUCAGGAGGAGUCAGAACUGGAGCUGUGACUAACUUCUCUUUGAGGGUGUUGAAAGCGAUGUCACAUUCAGGCGUCCAGACAUACUUCACAUGCUUCUGGAGAAGGUUGGAAAGAGGCUUCGCGAUCUUAGAGAAAUUCUCAACGAACCUUCGACAAUAGCUUGCGAGCCCAAGGAAGCUGCGGAGUUGCUUCACAUUCUGAGGCGGUUCCCAAUUCACAAUUGCAGACACCUUCUCAGGAUUAACAGCUAUGCCCUUGGCGGAGAUGAUAUGCCCAAGGUAGAGAACCUCACCGAGUCAAAACUCGCACUUUAAAAACUUCGCAUAGAACUGAUGUUCUCUGAGUUUGUCCAGCACCAAUCUCAAGUGCUUGGCAUGAUCCUCCUUGUUCUUGGAAAAGACCAAAAUGUCAUCGAGGUAGACCAAGACGAAGUCAUUUGUGUAUGGGUUGAAGAUGAAGUUCAUCAUGCGAGAGAAUGUUGGAGGAGCAUUGACAAGGCCGAAAGACAUGACAGUUUAUUCAUAGGAACCAUAGCUUGUUCUGAAUGUUGUCUUGGGGUUAUCUUGUUCACGAAUGCGAAUUUGAUGAUAGCCCAUACGGAGGUCAAGCUUUUUUUUUGACUGUACACAGUAGGGCAAAACCCCACUGCAAUUUUUUAUAUUAAUAAAGAAAGAAAAAACAAAGGUCCAACAGUACUAAGGCUUGAGGUAAGCCCUAGAAAAAAGAAAGAAAAACCAAAACAAAACAAACUUAAAAAAAAUUACAAAUUACAGAACAAGAUGGUCAAGCCAAUCACAGAAAGCCCUAGCAUAACUCUUUUUAAUCCUGAAUCUGAGCAAGUAAAUCUCUUCAAGGAAGAUUGCUUUCCACCUCUGAACUGAAGGUUGAAUUGCUUAAAAGAUGAGAUUAUUUCUUGAAAUCCAGAUGGCCCAAGAAGCGAGGAUGAUGAUUUCCAUGAAGAAAGGUACAUGUAAUUUUUGUCUGAGGUCAUCAAAAGCUUCAAGCACAGAAACAUGAGCUUGUCUUGUAGGGCAUAAUAGAUCCCAGCACUGGGAGGCAAAAGGACAGGUCCAAAAGAGAUGCUGCAAUGUUUCCUCCUGAGGACAAUUAUGGACAGUACAGUUGUAGCUUUCCAAAUGAAAUGUUUUCCUGCGCAGAAGGUUCCUGGUAUUAAGCCUAUCAUGAAGUAACCUCCAGAAGAACACCUUGUGUUUGGGCUGGCACGAACUAUUCCAAAUCCAGUUAAACUGCUGGGGCACUAUUUUAACUCCCAUCAUUACUUUAUAAGCCUGAGCAACCGAGAAUUGGUCAUUGCCCCAAAUGUAGCUCCAGGUGUCAGUGCAAUCCAGGGUGGCAGAGGUUCUUAAAGCAAUACAAAUGUCUUCCAUAUUUUCAAAUUCCUGGAAGGCUUCCACAGUGAGUGGAAGGUGGAAUAAAUCUUCCAGGAAUUCAGUAUGAAUAAUGGUGUGCACAGUAGUGUUGUUGUUCUUCACAAAGGAGAAGAGGUGUGGGAACAAGUCUUGUAAACAAGCUGAGUGCCAUAAAUCAGACCAAAAUAAAGCACUUUUACCAUCCCCUAUGUGACAUCUGGCCAAUGAUUUAAAGUUGUCAAUGAGCUUGAGGUUUGCCUUCCACCAAAAAGAUCCAACCCAAGAAUUGCCAGGCAACACACCAUUACUAUAGUAGGUUUCCCAAAUCAAAUUGACCCAUGGGAUGUUGUGCCUAUUAUAAAAUUUGUGCAAGUUCUUGAGCAGAAGGGCUUUGUUCUAAACAAAAAUAUCCUUGACCCCCAAGCCUCCUUGAUCCUUAGGUCUACAAACAGUACUCCAAGCAACCAUAGCAGGUCUGUGGUCCUCUAGAUCAGGACCUCUCCAUAAACAAUGCCUCAAGUACUUGAUAGCUUGGGUUUUAAUAGUCACAGGGACAUCAAGGCAUCCCAUAAGGUAGAUCAAAAGAGAGUUUAAGACAGAUUUCACUAGUAACAGUCUGCCAGCCAGUGUCAUGAAGGAAGAUAAGCCCACAAGCUUCUUCUGCAGUCGUGUGACAAGUGGAAAGCAUUGCUCCACAGUUGGUUUAUGAAGACCCAAGGGUGCUCCCAAGUACUGGAUGGGAAAUGAUUCUCUUUUGCAGUGGAAGGUAUUUGUCAAAAUUUCCACCUUGUCUUCUGAAACAUUAAUUGGGAUGAGGCUUGACUUGUUGUAGUUCACUUUCAGACCAGUAGCAUCUGCAAACGUAUUGAGGAGUGCUUUUAGGCAAUGGAGCUGCUUUGCAUCAGCUUGUAGAAGAACCAGAGUGUCAUCAGCAUACUGGAUAAUAGGAAAAUCAGGGCAUGACUCCACUUGCAGAGGUGAUGUGAGUAAACUCAAGUGCAUGGCUUUAUUGAGAAUUGACUGGAGCAAAUCAGCAGCCAACACAAAUAAGAGAGGGGAUAGAGGGUCUCCUUGCCUUACCCCUCUGAGACAGUAAAACUUUUUGCCUGGUACACCAUUAAGCAAGAUGGCAGAUGAUGCAGAAGUAAACAGCAUUUUAAUCCAGUUUAUCCAUUUGUCUCCAAACCCUUUGGCCUUUAAGAUAUCCAAAAUUGCCUGGUGCUCAAUGGUGUCAAAAGCCUUCUCAAAAUCUAGUUUGAGGACAAUAACUUCUUCUCUGAAUUUAUGGCAUUGAUGAAGAUACUCAAAUGCCCAGCCCAAGCAGUCAUGGAUGGAUCUUUCCUUUAAGAAUCCAUAUUGAUUGAUAUGCACCAGUUUGAGAAUCACUUUUUGCAACCUAUUGGCCAACAAUUUGGUGACAAGUUUAAGACAGCAAUUAAGUAGAGAGAUUGGCCUGAAGUCAUUUGCUGUCAGAGGAAUACUUCCUUUAGGGAUCAGGGUGAUGUAGGAGGUGUUUAAGCUCUCAAUUGAGAUUUGCCCAGCAUGAAAAUCCUGAAUAAAUCUAAACACAUCCACUUUAAUAAUAUCCCAACAGGAUUUGAAAAAUUCAUUGUUGAAGCCAUCAGGGCCUGGUGAUUUGUCAAGUGGGAGAACCUUGACAACAGCAUUGAUUUCUUCCUCAGUGAAAGGUAGCUCCAAGUUGUCAAAAAUGGCUUGGUCCUGCCUGGGUCCAAAUAAGGAUUCCAAAUCAAAGUGCAUUGUUGUUUUGUGAGAUGUGCCCAUUCUUUUCUUAUAAGAUUCCCAGAGUAUUGUAGCUUUCCCAGCAUGAUCUGAAAUUUCCACUUGGUCAUCAUUUUGAAGAACAGCAAUAUGAUUGUGCCUGUGAUUGAUAGAUGCUUUAGUAUGGAAAAAUUUUGUGUUCUCAUCUCCAAAUUUGACCCCUUUAAUUUUACCCCUUUGCUUCCAGUAAAUCUUUUGAUUCCUCAGAAGAAGUAGCAACUGAUCUUUGAGAAUGGCCCUGCAGUUCCAUUCAUGAAUUUCCAAUUCUCUAAAUUCCUCAAAGAAAUCCCAUAGAAAGAUGAGCUCAUUGAGUUUAGCAAUUUGAGCUCUCAAACAAGAUAAAGACUUGGCCCACAACUUUAAAGCUCUCCUCAAGUUUUUAAAUUUAGCAUUCAAACUUUUAACUGCAUCAAGAUUUCCCACUGGUAUGCUCCAAGCAGCAGCAACCACCUCCUUGAAGUCUGAGUGUUGCAACCAAUAGUUUUCAAAUCUAAAGACUCUUGCUUUUGGGAUUGCAGUGCCAAUUUUAAUAACACAAGGCAAGUGAUCAGAAAUAGGUUUUGCAAGAGGGAACACAAUAGUGUUAGGGAAAGAGGUCAUCCAAGAGGCAGAAGUGAAAAACCAAUCCAGUUUGACCAAUAGAGGGUCCUGUUGCAUGUUACUCCAACUGAACUUUCUUCCCUGCAAAGGUAACUCAAUUAAGCCUUGAUUGCUGAUUGCCUCAUUAAACAAAAGCAUGUCAUUCACAUCUCCACCAGGUCUGUUUCUGUCUGAAGGUGCCCUCAUAAAAUUAAAGUCGCCCAUAAGAAUCCAGUCUACAUCUGCAGGCAUAUGAAUGUUCAAGAACCAAAUAAUGAAAUCCACUUUAUCCUGUGGGUCACAAGGACCAUAUAUGUUAGUUAGGAUCCAUGACUGAUUGGACUGCAAACUGGUGAACUGAACCGAGGGAGAGAAUCUGUUCUGUGCAAUAACUUCUCCAGUAAACUGUGUACCAUUCCAAGCAACAAGCAAUCCCCCAGAAGCACCAACAGAUGGGAGGAAAGCAAAUUUAUUAAUUCUGUUAGGACAGAAGUUUUUAAUGUAAGCUGUAUCAAAAGAAUCUCUUUUAGUUUCUUGAAGGCACAAAAUGUUACAAUUACUCUCAUCAAUUUUUUGCCUUAGAGCCAACCAUUUGUCUUCAGAAUUCAUCCCUCUAAUAUUCCAGUUUAGGAUACUCCAGUUUCUGUUUGUGUUAUUCAUUAAAACAAUAGAAGUUUUUGCACCAGAAAUCAAGUACCAACACUUGAUCAGCCAAGAGGAAGCACAAAAAGCACAGAGCCAGGAAGCAGAACACACCACAAUUGCAGCACAACAGCCAUAAACCACACAGCUCAUAGGUCUUAAUAGUAGAGUACACCAUCAGAUCAACAAGUUCCAUAUAGAGCCAAACUUCCCUCAAUACAUCAGAAAUUAAGAAAGCCCAGUAAGAGCAACAAGGUCCAAAAGCACUGCUCCUAAAAACCCUAAGCCAGCAGAUGACCACUAUCAUCAGGAAGUGUUGGAUGGAUUGUCCUCUCCCUUGGUCAGGGAUACCUUGACCAGGUCUUCAUCUAGCCUUCUCCUGGGCUUUUUAGCCAGCUUGUCCUCCAGUUCCCUCUCAGCAACCUUAUAGAAAGAAGCAGUAAGGUUUUUAACAACUGACUUUUGAAUGAUUGGAGGAGCAGCAUUGCAAGGCAAACAGUUAUUAUUUGAGCAGGAAUUCCUUCUGAAACCAGCAUUAUCCUUUUUAAUUCUAUCACUUCUUCUUACCUCAGUUUCAACUAGGGGAGUCUUCCCAUUCCUUCUCUUCCUCAAAUUGUCAGAGCCAAAAGGAUGCAGUAGGUCCUGGGAUUCCACAUCCUGCAUAUUUGGGGCCUGUCCAAUAUUUUCCUUGCCCUGAUCAUAAUUAACUUGCUCAUCAGUGUUAAUUGCCUGACAAAUAGGUGCAUGAGUAGCAGGACACUUAUGAGGAAUGUAAAAUAGAAAAGCAUGAUCCAUGUUUUCCACUGCAGAGACAAGUUCCCACAUUCCAGAUUUUAACAUCUUGACAGUCCAAUCAAACUUAUCAGGGGACAGGAGAAGGUGGACAAUAAAGUUAAACCAACUUACAGGAAUGUUGGCAGUGAAAGAACUCUUAUUUUCCACAUGCUCCUCCUGGAAGUGCUUUUUCCACAACAAAAGACCUUCUUCAGAAACAGCAAGAGCAUUAUUAGCAGAUUCAGCCAUUUGAAUACAUUUCAGACCAAGAAGAGAAGGUGCCAUGCUGAAGUGCUCAUCAAUUCUGUUAACCCAGUUACCUUGGAGCCCAGGUUGAAGAUCCUCCAGGUUUGCAACUGGCUCCAGGCUUCCUCUUGAAGUAUUGACAGGUCCAGUGUUGCCCAACAGGUCCCUGGAGCACCCUGGGGCAGAACAGGAACCAGGCCAGAAUCCACUGCAGGUCCAAAUUGCUGGAUAAUGGCAGAUGAUUCCAAAGCUUGAGCAAUAGGUGAGAAGCUAACUGCAGCAAUCUCCAAAAGGUUUGCAGCAACUUGAUCAUGGGGAAGUUCAGCUGGCAAAGCAGCAUGCAGGUGUUGUUCUUGCAUCAGAGGAGGCUCUUCAUCAUCAGAUUGGUAAGUCUGGAUGAUGUUCUGCAGUCCAUCUGCAACCAUAAUGACAGGAGGUGCAACAACUGGCUCAGCAUAAAUAGGUUGGGGAAUCACAGCAAGUGCAGGUGGCAACAGGAAAUUGGAAUUGCCUCCUUCAGAAAAAGACAUAUCUGAAGAUAAGCUACUGUUACUGACUGCAGGUAGCAGGUCUUCUCCAUCAGCCCAAGCCAAUUCUUCCUGCUCCACAGCAUCUAAGAGGUCCUCUAGGGCAGCAUUGUGGUUAUCCUGCUGUGGUAAAUUCCAUUGCCCCCAGUCAUCCUCAUUCUGAUCAUCCAUAGGUACACUGUUAACAGCAUCAUUAUGGAAACCAUUACCUUGCUCAACAUCUUCAGGAAGUGGGUGUGGGUCCACAUUGUUAGGAGGAAUUGGGUCCUCAUCUGCUGGUCCCCCACCAAGCAACUCACUAGCUAGAAUUUCAAUGGAAGAAGACCAACCGUCUUACUCAAACUCAUCCCCUUCAGACCAUCUCAUACUCUUAGGAAUAAUAUCCAAGUUCAUGACUCUCGCUUUCACUACAAUGCGGCCCAUGUGGUCAUCCUCCUUAUCCCAAGAGAUCAUACGGCCAAACUUACUGACAGCACAUGCAAGAUCUUCAGUGUUUUGAAAAUCAAAAGGCACUCCUGUGAGUAAUAACCAGACAGUUCUAUUGAAAUGAACCCUUCUAUGGUUUCUGCCUUCAUCAUGCUUCACAAAAGAGAUGAACACAUCACCAAAUUCAUGUGGACUGUCAAGCACCAACUUAUCUCUAUCUCUAACCCUCGUCAGACGCACAUAAGCCUCACCAAAGGGACAGCGUUGAAUGUCUCUCAACCCCAACUGCCUAUGCUCAACAAUAAACUCUUCAAGAACAUCUCUUACAUUGGGGAAAGGAGCAUCAGCGGGCAGAGGAUGGAUUGUAGCGAUUGCCCAGUCUUCGUGACGACGAGGCCGCUGAGGGAGCACCACCCGCGCCACCGCAUUGCAACUAGGAACUUGCUGAAUGUCAAAGCCGUGAGGCACAAAAGGCCGUGGAUCAAUUGGGAUAUUGGCCAUCGGCACCGCCACACUAACUCUCAAUGACGACGGUGAGCUCGAGGUACCCGAAGUAGGGUUGGUGAGCUGGAGAGGAGCAGGGGGGGCAGAGCGCAGAAGUUGAGGAGGCAAGGGCAAUUCGGGGCUGAAAAUUAGGAAAAGAUCCCUUACAUAGCUGACUAAAAGAGGAAACCACCGAGGGAUCACGGGCCGGGCCGGAAGACUUAAACCAAUCGUGGACCGCUUCCAUGUCCCACGCCUCGACUGGUGGGCUGGGAAAGUAGCGAAUCGAAGGAAAGGAAACAGCCCAGGUAGAUGUUGCUCACCACACUCCCUGGCAAAGUGGCCCAAUUUGCCGCAAGCAUAGCACUGUAAUCUGUCAUUUGAAAAGCCCUGAUUCCCGCUCUGAGAAACCGGCGCGUUAACCUCGCCUGAGGUAUUAAGAUCAUGCAUUAUGGGCUCAUUAUUGACAGAGACCUCAUUAUUGCUGGAGCACGGAAUACCCGCGAGACGAGAAAAAACCGACGGCCGGAGUUGCUCACCGGAGACAUUGCCGGCAGCAGCCCGCGGGCGAUAACCAUUAGUAACAAAGGUCCAAGAAGCUUCCUCUUCACGAUAAAAAAGCUGCUCUUCACGUAGCCAGUUUGGGCCACCAAAACCCCAAAGAUUGAACACUAGCUCAAAAUCCUUUUCGAUCACUCGACCAUGAUUAUAAAUUUCAAAACCCACAGCUUUGGAAGCAACAGAGAACUUGAAAGAUCUGUCCUUAAGGUGAUGCACACGGAAACCCUGAGGAUACCCCCCAAAACAAGAUUGUAGAGUGAUACUAACUGUGUGGCAAUCCAAGCGAAACCUAGCCCGACAGAAGGACACCACCAAAGUGAACUCACGUUGACGAAAACCCGGGGAAAACACCACUGGAUGGCCAAACUUUUGUCGCAUCAAAUGCUGAAACUCUUUACCUCGAGCAAAGUUGAGUGAAGGAGGAUCCAUAGUCAGCUCCCGUGAUCCGUCACAUCCAGAGGAUGGACGAAAAGAUGAAGUGAACUAGCCACAAGGGGCCAAGGACAGAGAGGUUGUGGCCGUCGGCGCCGGAGUGGCAACCAGCGUGAAGAGAAGGUGGCCGCCAGAGCCGUAGAGACCACCGGUGAGGGGAGGAGGUGGCCGCCGGGGCCGGAGUGGCCACCGGCGGGAGGCGCCGAGGAGGAGCCUAGCGGAGGAGCCUAGCCACCUAGCUGUUACAUAUUUCAUCUCUCACGGAGGUCAAGCUUGGAGAAUACUUGAGCACCUUUGAGUUGUUUGAAAAGCUCAUUGAUGUUUGGAAGUGGGUACUUGUUCUUUAUGGUCUUCUUGUUCAAUGGACGUCGACACAAAGUCAGUCCGUUCCAUCCUUCUUCUUGACGAAAAGAACACCACAACCCCAUGGAGAAGAACUUGGUCGGAUCAGACCCAUACGCUCUUGAAUAUCGAGUUGUUUCUUCAGCUCCUUCAACUCUUCUGGUCCAAGCUUGUAAGGACGUUUGCAAACAGGUUCCGUACCAGGCUCAAGAUCAAUGACAAAUUCAACUGGCCGGUGAGGAGGCAUUCCUGGAAGCUCUUCUGGAAAGACGUCUUGAUAUUCACAAAUGACUAGAAUCUAAGAAAUGGCAUCCAACUCGCCCUUCUCAUUGAGAGAAAACAAUCGAAUGGUACCAUCACGAGCGGCAAAGACGAUCACAUCCUCAGACGAGUGUGUCAAUUGAAUCUGGCUGGCAGCACAAUCAAGCUGAGCCUUGUGCUUAGAAAGCCAGUCCAUUCCAAGAAUAAGAUCCAUAUCCGAGUCACCAAGGACCAUUGGAGAAGACAGAAACUUAUAGUCGACCAUCUUGAUGGCAACAUCCGGAACCAUGGAGUUAGUGUUCAUGCGUUUACCUGGUGAGACAACUGCUAACGGACUAGGCAAAACUUGGAAAGCCAACUCAUGCUUAGAUGCAAAUGGUCUUGAGAUGAAACAAUGCGAUGCACCAGUGUUAAAAAGAACUUUUGCAGGAAUAUCGUUAAUAGGAAGGUUACCCAUGAUCACAUCUGAUGAGUCCUCUGCCUGAGCUGCGUUCAUCAAGUUGACCUUGACAUGCUUUGGAUUAUGCUUGACCACUGCAUUGCUGGCAGAUCUCAUAGGAGGAGGAGGAAGACGCCUCUGUUGAAGCAUUUGUUUGCAUAGUGACCUUUCUGCUGACACUUGUUGCACGUGACCUCUGAAAGCGGAUGGUGAUACAGAGCACUUGAUCUUGGAGCAUGAGACGAAGCCUUGUUCUGAAAGCCUGGGUUGAGUGGGUGGGAAGAUCUAUUGCCACCUUUGCUCUUUUGCUGAUAAGGCUGACGGAACGGAGGAGGAGGAGGCAACCAAUACUUUUGUUGCUUAGUUACCACCUGAGUUGAGGAAGAAGAAGGAAUUGCAUCCCUGACUCUCUUCUUGGAAGCACCGCACUUGAGCUGAGCGGCUUCUUGCUUCAGUGCCAUGUUGUAGAAUUCAUCAUACUUUUUCGGCUCAAAAAGCAUAAGGGCAAGUUGCAGAUCUUCUUUGAGGCCACCUCUGAACUGAUAAAUCAUGCUCUUCUCGUCAGGGGCAUCUUGCUUGGCGAAACGAGUGAGCCUCUAGAACAGGAUGUUGUAUUGAUAAACAGACAAGCUGCCUUGCUUCAGAUUGCGGAACUCCUCACGCUUGCUCUCAACAACACUCUGAGGAAUGUGGUGAGCUUUUAAGUCUUGGCAGAAAUCAUCCCAGGUAAUCACACGACCUUCUCUGGAAUCUUUGUAUUGUUGAUACCACUCAGCAGCUUGGUCUUUCAGUUGGAACGAGGCAAACUUGACAAAGUCCUCAGGCCUGACGUUGUUGCACUCGAAAUGUUUGCAGAUAUCCACGAGCCAAUCAUCAGCGUUUGAGGCCUCGACACAGUUACUGAAGGUCUUUGGCUGGUUUGCGAGGAACUGGUUGAGUGUAGCAAACUGAUUUUGAUUGUUUGCAUGGCCUUGAUUUCCUUGGUUGCGCUCUUGCAAGAGUUGCAUAAUCAGCUGCGUGUUGGCGUUGGUAGCGGCCAUUAUAGCUUGCCAUGCCUCCGGAGGUGAAGGUGGUGGUGGUGGAUCCGGAUUCAGACGCGUUGGAGGAGCCAUCCUGAAGAGGGUGACAUCAGUUAGCAUCUUGACAGACAUAUAUUCAAGCUGAAUCAAAUGGAUCGAAAUUGCAACAUAUAGUCUUAACAUUCGAACAAGAAUGAACGAAUGGAUUCCAAAUUAAAUGGUCACACUUCCAUAAAUUGAGAAGCCACUUAGAUAGAGGUAGAUGAAUAAAACAACAAGGUACGGAUAUGAACAAAUACUUGGUGAGGAUUACCCAAUCACAAACCAAAUAUCCACGGAAGAAAUACUAGAGCUACAUGAAUUCCCACCUAUGAAACUCCCGAAACUUUCCGGUUAUGCAAUCAGGUGUUGGGGAUACAGGGGAAGCAUAAUAUCUCACCCAAAACUAGCAAAUCCUACAUCCAGCUGUAUCCAUCCUUCAACACAUAACCAAGAAACCUUCGGAAAUCAUUUACCUCAACCUUCGAAAAGCAUCCGUUAUACGAGUUAUGGUAAUACUCCCGAAGUCCCGCCCCAGUACUAGGUGGCGUCGAGGUUAUCUCACCAACAACUGCAAAAAAGAUAUUUUCGAUGUCGGCGAAACUCAGGUAUUCCAGAACUGCAACGAUAAAAUUGUGAUGACAACACCUCGGAGCUCAACUCCCCGGGACACUGCCACAACCCCUAAAUGUCAGGAGGCACCAAGAACAAUGUUCUCGUCACAAAACCAUCGAAACGAUUCCAAGAUACCCGUGUGAUCCUAAAAAAUUUAGUAAAAUUUGAGAAGAGAAUAGUCAAAACUCUACGUCAGGAUGCCUCACCAGAGCGACGAAGGGACUGAGGAGUAAAAAGAAUCCUACUCUCCGAUAUAUAUAAUCCUAAAAGACUCAAAAAAAAUUUCUAGACUCAACAACGCCAACGAUUCAAUCAAGCAGGGGGCUCCUAAGUCGGGGAAGGCUCUGAUUACCAACUUAUAACACCCACGAUGCGGCUAUAUCUCCCACGUGUCGGAGCACGACUCAGAGGCAUAACCGCAUUGUAGGCAAUGUCGCAAGAGGGGUAAUCUUUACACAACCCAUGUACUAAAUAAGAAAGAGGUACAUAGCUGGCUUACAAUCGCCACUUCACACAAUAACAUAAAUAUAGCAUUACAAUCAUCUAGGUACAAUCAAGGUCCGACUACGGAACCAAAAUAAAGACAACCCCAAAUGCAUAAGAUCCCCGAUCACCCCAACUGGGCUCCACUACUGAUCAUCUGGAAAGGAAACGUAGUAACGUCAUGAGUCCUCAUCGAACUCCCACUUGAGCUCAGUCGCAUCUUCUGGAAUGACAUCAUCGGCACCUACAUCUGGUUUUUGGAAGUAAUCUGUGAGUCACGAGGACUCAGCAAUCUCACACCCUCGCGAUCAAGACUAUUUAAGCUUAUGGGUAGGUAAAAGGUAUGAGAGGUGGAGCUGCAGCAAGCACUAGCAUAUAUGGUAGCUAACAUACGCAAAUGAGAGCGAGAAGAGAAGGCAAAGCACGUUCGAGAACCAAUGAUCAAGAAGUGAUCCUAGAAAUACUUACGUUCAAGCAUAACCCGAGACCGUGUUCUCUUCCCGGACACCGCCAAUAAGAGACCAUCACGGCUACACACGCUGUUGAUUCAUUUUAAUUAAGUUAAGUUUCAGGUUUUCUACAACCGAACGUUAACAAAUUCCCAUCUGCCCAUAACCGCGGGCACGGCUUUCGAAAGUUCAAAUCCCUGCAGGGGUGUCCCAACUUAGCCCAUCACAAGCUCUCACGGUCAAUGAAGGAUAUUCCUUCUCCCAGUACGGCCCGAUCAGACUCGGAAUCCCGGUUACAAGACAUCUCGACAAUGGUAAAACUAAACCAUCAAAGCCGCCCGAAUGUGCCGACAAAUCCCGAUAGGAGCUGCACAUAUCUCGUUCUCAGGGCACACCAGAUUGUCCAAGGUUCCGGUACGCCAGCCCAAAGUUGCCCCUGGUGGCCACCGGCAGCUGACAGGUUGGACCAACACUCAGAGGAGCACUGGCCCGGGGGUUUAAAAUAAAGAUGACCCUUGAGUCCGUGGAACCCAAGGGAAAAAGGCUAGGUGGCAAAUGGUAAAACCAAUGUUGGACCUUGCUGGAGGAGUUUUAUUCAAGGCGAACUGUCAAGGGGUUCCCAUUAUACCCAACCGUGUAAGCAACGCAAAAUCAAGGAACAUAACACUGGUAUGACGGAAACUAGGGCGGCAAGAAUGGAACAAAACACCAGGCAUAAGGCCGAGCCUUCCACCCUUUACCAAGUAUAUAGAUGCAUUAAAGUAGACAAGGUAUAAUAGUGAUAUCCCAACAAUAAACAUGUUCCAACAAGGAACAAACUCCAAUAUUCACCUGCAACUAGCAACGCUAUAAGAGGGGCUGAGCAAAGCGGUAACAUAGCCAAACAAUGGUUUGCUAGGACAAGGUGGUUUAGAGGUUUGACAUGGCAAUAUGGGAGGCAUGAUAAAGCAAGUGGUAGGUAUCGUAGCAUAGGCAUAGCAAUAGAGCAAGCAACUAGCAAGCAAAGAUAGAAAUGAUUUCGAGGGUAUGGUCAUCUUGCCUGCAAAGUUCUCCGAGUUGACGUAAGCUUGAUCCUCGUAACCAUACUCAACAGGUUCCUCGUUCACGUACUUGUCUGCCGGCUCUACCCAAAGCAAGAACACAAGCAAAGGGAACCACGAUCAACCACGGUGCAAUGCACAAGCAACAUGAUGCAAGACAUGGCAUGAUAUGCGGGAUGUGAUAUGCAAUGCAUAUGCUUGCUCCAGAAGGAAAGGAUUGAACCAGGCCUCAACUUGGCAAACCAAGCGCGCCGCUGGAAAGAUGGGUUGAUUUCGGUCAAAAUUGAUAUAAAGAUCACCGGAACCGGAUGCACGGUUUGCAAAUGGCAAGCAAAACAAUAAUGGCACAAAGCUGUGAUUAACAGCACGAUGCCAUCUAGAAUGCAUCAAGAAAAUAAGCUAUUGCACUCUAACAUAGCAACAAAGCACAUGGAAGCGAUCCACUCAAGAUUCUUGACAAAAUAUGAACACUGAGCUACGGCUAAAUCACCCAAUAGUAGGUUCAAACAAGCAUGGAAAAAGUGCAAAAGAUAUCAGGUUCACAGACUUAGUGAAAUAACAACAUGCCAGGAUUUAACAUCAGCAAGCAAUGUUUAGAGCAAGAUAACAACAUGCUACAGGAACAUAUCAUGGCAAAGCAAGGCAUGGCAUGAAACUACUCAAAGCAUAUAACAAAAGUCCCUUACUGACCAUAAGCCAAAAAGGAUCGGAAAAUACAAUGGCAACCAUGUAAGCAUAGGAAGUUUCAUUAACAGAUUCAGACUUUGCAGAAAACUGGAACAUGGCAAAACAGAGUUACAUAGGCAUGUUUGCGAGCUCGAUGCACUCACCAAAAGGCAUUGCAUGACAAACUAAGCAUACACCCAGCAGGAAGACAUGAUCAAUAAGCUAACCAUGGCAAGAACACUCUCAUAGCAUGCAUGGAACAACUACAACAACCUCGGCAAAAUUGAUUAACACGUAAACAAUCUGCCAGGAACAUUUUAUAGCAAAAGUAGAGCAAGAUUGAGUCAUGCUAGGGUGCGCCAUAAUUUCAAACAAAGACAUGGAUGGAUAGAGCAUAACAAUAUCUCAAAAUCAUCCUUACUGAACAUGCUCAAAAGAGGCAUGGAUCACUCUGUAGCAACAUGAAUACAUGGCAUAAAAAUAACAUCAGGGAAAUGACUUAGAAGAAUUCAAAGUCCCUGAAAUCAGCAACAUCACUAGAGCUACUUUGCAUGCUUGUGCUAGUCACCACAAAGAUCACAAAAAUACAUGGCAUACACCCCUGUAAAGAUGACAUGGCAUAGCCCAAAACACAUGUAGGGCUCAAGUUCAUAGGAGGCACACAUUAAACAUGGCAAAAAUGACAAAUGUCCAUAAUCUGAUAAGAAUCAGAAACUAACAUUACAUAGCACUCUUGCAACAGCAUUUAGGGCAUCAAGAUGAGCUCAAAUGAACAUGGUGCAAUGGAAUUAAAUGAAGUGCACAUCCAGACGAACAAUUUGAUAUGCUACACGCCCAAAACGGAGCUAAAGAUGCAAAGUCAUGACAUGAUCAAAAUGCCUAAAAAUACUGAAAACUUAGGGAAAAAUGAGGUCAACCCUAGGGUUACUGUAGAAGAUCUGGAUUGGGCGUGUUGGACGAGGUUCGACGGGGCCUUCGCCGGAGUUGAGCAUGGAGGAGGAAGGAGAAGGCCGGAGUGGAGAUCCGGCGUCGCGGAGCUCGCCGGUGGGGGGGAGCCGGUGAGAGGCGGCGGCGGAGGUAUCCGGGCGGCGGGGCGGCGAAGCACUCGGUGGGCGGCGGCCGGAGCACCGGNNNNNNNNNNNNNNNNNNNNNNNNNNNNNNNNNNNNNNNNNNNNNNNNNNNNNNNNNNNNNNNNNNNNNNNNNNNNNNNNNNNNNNNNNNNNNNNNNNNNNNNNNNNNNNNNNNNNNNNNNNNNNNNNNNNNNNNNNNNNNNNNNNNNNNNNNNNNNNNNNNNNNNNNNNNNNNNNNNNNNNNNNNNNNNNNNNNNNNNNNNNNNNNNNNNNNNNNNNNNNNNNNNNNNNNNNNNNNNNNNNNNNNNNNNNGCCGGCGAGAUAGCGGAUCGGCGGCGGGGCGAAGGAGCGAGGCGGCGGAACGGACGGACUCCGCCCGGGUCGGGAGGGCCCCGCCUGGGCCCCGGCGGGCUGGCGCGCGAGCAGGAGCGGUGGUGUGGGCGCGGGGCGGCAGCGAAUCCGGGGAUGACACGUAGCGGCGGACGGCGGGAUUUUUGUCCGGCGGCGCCCGGACACGUCCGGCGGCGUGGAGGGGAGAGGAAGCUAGGGUUUCAUCCGGAUUUUGGAGAGGGUUGCACAUAUUUAUAGGUAGAGGGGGUUUGGAGUGUCCAAAUGAGAUGCGGUUUUGGCCACGCGAUUGUGAUCGAACGACCGAGAUGAUGGAGGGGGUUUAGGUGGGUUUUGGGCCACUUUGGAGAGGUGUUGGUCUGCAACACACACGAGGCCUUUACGGUUCCUCGGUUAACUGUUGGAGUAUCAAACGAAGUCCAAAUGGCACGAAACUUGACAGACGGUCUACCGGUAGUAUACCAAGGCCGCUUGGCAAGUCUCGGUCCAAUCCGAUAACGUUUAACACCCACACAUGAAAAGAGUCAAAAGGGGACAUCGGAGGACAUAGGAGCACCGGAAUGCAAAACGGACAACGGGGAAAAUGCUUGGAUGCAUGAGACGAACACGUAUGCAAAUGCGAUGCAGAUGAUGACAUGAUAUGAGAUGCAUGACAAACACAAAAAAACAAAAUGAAGACAAAACCCAACCACGAGGGAAUAUCAUAACUUAGUGCCGGAAAUGGCAAGAGUUAGAAUACAAAUAUGGCAAGUUACAUAUGGGGCGUCACACUCGAGCAGCUCCGUCUUGAAUAUGACGAAGUGGUAGAAGAGCGGUUGACCAACAAGGCAUGAAUAUCGUCCAUUCUUGCAUUGUUCUCUUGUUUUUGUUUGUCGAGCUUGUUGUCGAAGUAGUCUCUUGUACAUUGCUCGGAAUGUCGCAAGUUGGUGGCGAGAUUGUCAAUGCGGUUGCUCAAUGCUUGUUGUUCUUGGUGCAAAGCUCUUUGUGCGUCGAAGAGGUGGUUCUUGGUGACGUAAGUCUUUGGGUCCUCAUCUCGCUCGAUGAAGAGUGGGUUGGUAGAAGUAGUUGGCCUAUCCAUCAUUCCAAGCAAAUGUGAGAGUAGAAGAAAGGAAGAACAAUACCAAAUGUACCUUGGCCGAUGUUGAGAAUGGAUCAAACAUCACUCAAUGAUGUAGCAAGGAAAUAGCACAAUUGGUACCAUAUCUCGUCAAUCUCUCACACCUAUAGAAAUAAAGCCUUUGGUGUAGCUUGGUUAGGAUGGUGGCAUAAAAUUUAUGCAAUUGUUAGUGAGACUCAAUAAUGUUGAAAAAGAUCCGCAAAUUCGUAAAUGCAACAAGUAGACCAAUAGCAAGAUAUGGUACACGAAAACACACACAUGGAUAGAUAGAUGGGGUCGUGCAACCAAGGAAUGAGCCAAAAUUUGGAAUCCACGAAAGUGCUCUUGUUGCACAAUGCUAGAGAGACGCUAGCUCGAUUGCACAAUAGGCAGAUAUGAUACUUGUGCACAACUUGCUAAGAAAAAUGUAACGACUUCUAUCCCAAAUAUGCUAUAUGUAUGGUGUUCCAGUGAUAUGAUCCAAGAUGACCGAGUAUGACAAUCUUAAUGUAGUAUGAUGCUAUGGUUCUUGCUUAAAAGCUCUUUGCUUAUCUUUUCCUUUCGCUUAAAAUCUUGUUUGGCUCUUUCUCUUUUGAGCGCUUUCUUUGGCCUCUUAUGCAAAACUUCACAAACCAAGAUAGCAAUUGUGUAUAUGCGAUGACAACCUUGUGACACAAGAGAUGAUACCAAGAUAUGUAUACCGAUAUGAUAUGGUAUGUGCGCAAUGGGAGUUAUGAUCACUAAUGUGCAUAAGUAACAUUGCCGGCAGUACUCAAUGGCUAGUCUCGAUAGGAAAGGUACGCAAAAUGGGCUAUGGGGCUAUCAAUGCAAUGGCAAGGAGUAGACAAAGAUGUCGUCGAGGUUACCAUCCUUGCUUACCAUUGGGGGUGUCAAAAUGGUGGAGCGGUUGUUGUCGAUGACGAGUCCGUGGAGAAGAUGAGCGGUGGUGGUGUUGAUGUCGAACCGUCCCUAAGUUGCCGAAACACGUUAGGAAACAGAAACCACAACUCAAAUUCUCCAAGAACAAAACGUGUCAAAAUUGUCGGAGUUGGGAAAUGGGUAAGCUAUGGUGGUUGCGAAAAGCGGUGGUGGUAUGCAAGUGUGUAUGCGGAAGUGGUAGAGGAAUCAGGGAUUGCGUAUGCGGAAGUGAAAAUGGAGUGGCAAUGCGGAAGUGUGGGCGGUGGCUGAAAAUUUUCGGUCGAAAAUUCUAGUUUCGUCAGGAAACGUCGGACGUCCGGUGAUGGUCGGAUGACCAGUGGUUGUCGGACGUCCGGAGACUGUCGGACGUCCGGUGCCUGGGCGAUUUCGGGCAUGGGAUGAGCUUCUAGGGUUCGUGGUGGAGGGGCAAAAUUGGGUCAAAAUUGGACGAAUUUGUGGAUGGAAAUGUGGAAAAAGAUGGGGAAAAUAUAUAUCUACCUGCUACACACGAAAUCCACAGAUUAAAUCCAACAAAACUUCAUGACGCUAACAAAUCGCAAAAAAAUGGGGCUAUUUUUGGUGGGGAAUUUUUCAAAUUUGGGACAAAAUCAACAAAACAAGGGUAGGGGCUCCAGAUGCGUGAUCAACCAAGGCUUGUGAUACCAAGAUGAUGUAGGGUGGAAGCCCUAGGGAGGAUCUUUCAUGAUUGGAGCGGAUCCUACAAAGAACACGAGGGGAAACGCGAGGGUGAAACAAGAGGAAACACUCAAAUCAACGAUGAACGAUCACACAUGUGCUAGAUCCAUGAACAUAAAGAGUGAUACAAGAUUCAAACACAACAAAGGACAAUACCAAAGGUCUUCUCCGCGAGGAGGUCUUGAGGGGUCUUCCCGUGAUGGGGUCUUAAUCCACUUGGGGUAUCUUCUCCAUAGAGGUCGUGAACUCCGAUGGAGAAGGUAUCAAGUGGAUGAGCAAAGCUCUGUCUCUCAAAUGAGCUAAUCCUUUGCUAACCCUAAAAAGAGGGAGGAGGAGGAGGAGGAGUAUAUAUAGUCUAAGUGGACGAAGGGGUACAUGGGCCUCGGCCCAACACGCUGUCAACACACAGGCGUCGGACGUUCGACAGCUAUCGGUCGUCCGGUGGCUCGUGAGGGUCCGGUCAUCCGGUACUUGUCGGAAGUCCAACGUUUUCUCUCGGGAUGGUGGGCGUCGGAUGUCCGGGGCGUCAGUCGUAUGGUCAGUGCUGGUUGUCUGGCCACUGGAGCAUGCACGGGCUGGGACUUGGCUGGCUAGCUGGAGCUCCCAGGCGUCGGACGUCCGACAAGUACCGGUCGUCCAAUGGUUGUAGAUUCCUGGUAGCUCUUCCUCUUGGUCAUUGUACUUGGUGUCCUCGUCGUCUUGUCCGUUGGGUGUAGUUGUCCCGUGGCUUUCCUCCAAGUACCUGAUCACACAUAGGGUCUCUGCUUGAGGUAGUAGACAUGUCGCAUAUGUAGAAAGUGGUAGUUCAGAGAGGAGCGAGUUCACCUUAUCUUCGGUAGCCUUUGCUCGAGUUCUUGUCAUUGGUCCAAGUGGUGUCAUGGGAGACGUAAGUAGGUCCAUGGGGAUGACCACAGGAUGCUCUGCAUCAAAGUGCGUCUGCAAAGGGGUUCGUACAUCCGAUCUACCUCCCAUCCCAUAACUGGAUGCUUAUGAGUUGCACCGAAUGGAAAUAGCCAACGACAUUUGGACCGCGGCUUUGGUUACAGUGGAGCGAACUGACAAACCUGAACCUGUACCUGCACCUUCCAACAUUCAAAAACUUCUGUCUGAAUAUGAAGAUGUGUUCUCUGAACAAAAAGUGUUGCCUCCCAAACGGCAAUACGAUCACGCAAUCAACCUAGAGCCUGGCACAACACCUAUCAACACCAGGCCCUACCGCUACUCACCAAGACACAAGGGUGAAAUCAAAAAGCAAGUGUCGGAGAUGUUGCAAUCUGGGGUCAUCGCACAUACCCUGAGUCUGUAUGCCAUGCCGGUCCUGUUGGUCAAGAAGAAGGACGGCACUUGGCGAUUAUGUGUUGAUUUUCGGCGCCUUAACACAGCCACGGUCAAAAACAAGUUCCCCUUGCUGGUGGUGGACGAACUGCUCGACGAGAUGGGUGGAGCAGCAUAUUUCUCCAAGAUCGACCUACGCGCCAGCUAUCAUCAGAUCCGCAUGCAAGACGAAGAAGAAGAGAAGACGGGUUCCAAAACACACCAUGGCCAUUACUAAUUCAGGGUGAUGUCGUUCGGCCUCUGCAAUGCGCCACCCACAUUCCAGUGUGUAAUGAACUCGGUGUUCGCUCGCCACGUUUGCAAAUUCAUCAUCAUCUUCCUCGAUGUCAUUCUGGUCUUCAGUGUUGAUUUACAAGAACAUGAAGAACACUUGCGCACUGUCCUCGACCUCUUGUGGGCACACCAACUAUACGCCAAGGCCUCCAAAUGCUCGUUCACCCAGCAAAAGAUCGAGUAUUUGGACAUAUCAUCUCCAAGGAUAGCAUCACCACCGAUUCCAGCAAGACUAGUGCCAUGAGUGCCUGGCCCGUGCCCACGACGCCCACGGAGCUCCGUGGCUUCCUCAGCCUUACGGGCUACUACCGCAAGUUCAUGCCACACUACGGAAUUAUCGCGAAGCCCGUGACGCGCCUUCUGACAAAGAAAGGAUUCCUCUAGGACGACAAGGCCUAGACCAUGUUCGAGACGCUCAAGAAGGCGAUGGUGAGAAUGCCUGUGCUUGCACUCCCAGACUUCAAGCGCCCAUUCGCCAUCAAGACCGGCGCGUGCGACACUGGCGUGGGCACGGUGCUGGUUCAGGAUGACCAUGCCAUCGCGUACCUAAGCAAGGCGUUGGGUGUGCGGAGCCAAAAGCUCUCUGUGUAUGAGAAGGAGUUUCUCGCCGUGAUGAUGGCGAUCGACAAGGGGCGCCCUUACCUCCAGCAUGCAUCGUUUGAGAUCGUCACCAACCACAAUACCUUGUGUUCCUUGGGUGAUCAAUAGCUCGUCACGGAUCUUCAGCGCAAGGCCAUGUCCAAGAUGGUGGGCCUGCAGUUCACCUUCCGUUACAAGAAGGGUGCGGACAACGGCGUAGCCGGCACACUCUCCAGGGUGGGGCACCUACUGUCGCUGGACGCACUCUCGGUAAACCCGGGCAUGGGUAGCCCGGCCCGAAAAAACCCGGGUCGGGCUGGGUCGGGCUCGGACUUUGUUUUGCAGCCCAAAAGAUAGUUCGGGCCGGGCUUGGGCUUCAAUUUUUUUGUAUUUCGGGUCAGGCUUUCGAGCUUCGGGCUGGGCUUGCACGUGCGCGUACCAAAAAACAGCAUCCAGGCCGGGCUUUCGGGCUUCGGGCUUGAUUUCGGGCCGGGCUCGGGCUUGAAAACAAGGAGUAUUUUGGGCUUCAGGCCGGGCUCAGGCUUGAGAAAUGAAGGUCGGGCUUUUACAAGCCCGGCCCGAAACCCGGCCCGGCCCGACGUUUGCCUAGGUUUAGCUCUCGGUGUGCCAGCACCAGUGGUUGCAAGAGGUGGCAAAUUUAUACAAGACGGACACGGACGCACAAGAGCUUCUCACCAAGCUUUCCCUCUGCGACACCAAUGACCAAGGCCGCACUCUGCAGCAAGGAGUGAUCCGCCAACAAGGACGGCUGUGUAUCGGCGCCAACACCGUGCUCCAAACCAAGCUGAUCACUGCGACAGCACGGUCGGAGGACACUUAGGCGCCACCGCCACCUACCAGUGCGUACGCAAGCUCUUCGCCUGGCCUGGCUUGAAGCGCCGUUGAGGAUUUCGUCAAGCAAUGCAGCAUUUGCCAGCACGCGAAGCACAAGCAAACCCACCCUGCGGGCAAGCUCCAACCGCUUCCAAUCCGCAAGAGCCAUGUCAGGACAUAACCAUGGAUUUUGUAGAAGGGCUACCCAAGUCGGACGGCCAUGACACGAUCAUGGUGGUCGUCGAACGCCUCACCAAGUACGCUCAUUCUGUACCUCUCCGGCACCCUUUCACCGCCGCUCAAGUCGCAUGCGCCUUCUAGGACGACAUCAUCAGACUCCACGGUGUGCUGCACUCCAUCAUCUCCGACCGUGACAAGGUGUUCACCAGUGUGAUGUGGCGGGAAAUUCUUGCUGCCGCGAGCACCAAGCUGUUGUACUCCACGGCGUACCACCCCCAGACCGAUGGCUAGACAGAGCGCGUGAAUUAGUGCUUGGAGAUGUAUCUCCGAUGCCCCAUCCAUGACACCCCCAAGCAAUGGCACCGGUGGAUCUCCGUGGCGGAAUUCUAGUACAAUUCCUCACACCACGCCUCGCUCAAUGGCUCCCCUUUCAAGGCUCUGUAUGGGCGAGAACUUGGGGGGCCUUCCGCGGUCAGCACCACCAUUUCCGCAGACGUGCCCCUCGAUGAGAUUGAUUGCACGACCCACACCGAGCUGCUUCGCGCCCAGGCGCGCUUCAAGAAGCAGGCCGAUCGUCACCGCGCCCAGCGCCUUCGAUGUGGGCGAGCAAGUUCUCCUCAAGCUUCAAAUCUACGCGUAAUCCUCCAUCGCCAACCGCCCAUGCCGGAAGCUGGCAUACAAGUUCUUCGGCCCGUUCACCAUGAUGGAGCGCAUCGGCAACCUUGCGUACCGCCUGCAAUUACCCCAAAAUGCAUCCAUCCGGUCUUCCAUGUCUCCCGGCUCAAGUCGUUCGUCCCCGACUAUACACCAGUCUUCACUGAGCUGCCCAAGAUCCCAGACCUCACCGCCGCUGAGCGUGUUCUGGUGGCCAUCCUGGAUCGCCGCAUGAUGAAGAAGGGGAACACUCCGGUGGUACAAAUACAAGUGUAAUGGAACUCCAUGCCGCAAUCAGCUGCUACCUGGAAAGACUACACCGUCCUGUGGCAAAGCUACCCCGACGCACAUCUAUGGGGAGAUGAAGAAGUUGCUGCUCGAGAGGGGACAAAUGUCACGCCUGUAGAUCAAUCUACAGCGGACUGAAGAAAUGAAACUCAGAGUUCUGAACCUGCAACAGCAACGACCUGGUCAGCGGGGCCGGGUUGGGCCCACUGUCAGGGGAUUGAGUGUGUGUACCAGCUGUGGCUUGGCUUACUUGUAUGCGUGUGUGUGGACGCGGGGGCAUCGACAAUUGAAUGAACCUUUUCCUCCAUGUCGUCUAUCUCUCUCGCUCUCUCUCACCUACCCUUGUCCUUCUCCUCUCAUCUCUGAUCCCCUCCUAUCCUUCAGAUCUCACGAUCAGGACGUGACAUUCUACAAUAGUACCUUGCUCCAAAGUGGAUUUGAAUUUCAAUCGCUCCCUCCAGAUCCUCCCAAGGAGAGGGGCUCCUCACACACGAGACCAGUGCCCUGAAACCGCUGCACCAUUGCCACACCCUUCCUUCUUCCCCUUCCUUCUUCUCCUACCUCUCAUCCUCCCUAGAUCCUUCUCUGUCUCUCUUUUAUACCAGAAAAAUCAAAGCGUGCCGCCGCGCCGGAUCCAUCCUUCUCAUGUGCCCGCUGGAUCCCGCCGCUGCCGUUCUGCACCGAGCAGACCCGUCAUCCCUAGCCCCUCGAGCCGCCGCGUGAUACGUCUCCGUCGUAUCUAUAAUUUUUUAUUGUUCCAUGCCAAUAUUAUAAAACUUUCAUAUACUUUUGGCAACUUUUUAUACUAUUUUUGGGGACUAACAUAUUGAUCCAGUGCCCAGUGCCAGUUCCUGUUUGUUGCAUGUUUUUUGUUUUGCAGAAAAUCCAUAUCAAAUAGAGUCCAAACGGGAUAAAAAUUGACAGAGAUUUUUUUUGGAAUACAUGUGAUUUUUGGAAGAAGAAUCAACCCGAGGCGAUGCCCGAGGGGGGCACGAGGCAGGGGGCGCGCCCCUAGCCCUCGUGGCCACCCUGUAGGGUGGUUGGUGCCCUUCUUUCGCCGCAAGAAAGCCAAUAUCCGAAUAUAAAUCGUGUUAAAAUUUCAGCCCAAUCAGAGUUACGGAUCUCCGGGAAUAUAAGAAACGGUGAAAGGGCGGAAUCAGGGAACGCAGAAAGACAGAGAGACAGAGAGACAGAUCCAAUCUNNNNNNNNNNNNNNNNNNNNNNNNNNNNNNNNNNNNNNNNNNNNNNNNNNNNNNNNNNNNNNNNNNNNNNNNNNNNNNNNNNNNNNNNNNNNNNNNNNNNNNNNNNNNNNNNNNNNNNNNNNNNNNNNNNNNNNNNNNNNNNNNNNNNNNNNNNNNNNNNNNNNNNNNNNNNNNNNNNNNNNNNNNNNNNNNNNNNNNNNNNNNNNNNNNNNNNNNNNNNNNNNNNNNNNNNNNNNNNCUCCCAUCUAGGGAGAAGGUCAAGGAAGAAGAAGAAUAAGGGGGGCUCUCUCCCCCUCUCUCCCGGUGGUGCCGGAACGCCGCUGGGGCCAUCAUCGUGUGACGGCGAUCUACACCAACACCUCCGUCAUCUUCACCAACAUCUUCAUCACCUUCCCCCAUCUAUCAAAAGCGGUCCACUCUCCCGCAACCCGAUGUACCCUCUACUUGAACAUGGUGCUUUAUGUUUCAUAUUAUUAUCCAAUGAUGUGUUGCCAUCCUAUGAUGUCUAAGUAGAUUUUCGUUGUCCUAUCGGUAAUUGGUGAAUUGCUAUGAUUGGUUUAAUUUGCUUGUGGUUAUGUUGCUAUCCUUUGGUGCCCAUCAUAUGAGCGCGCGUGUGGAUCACACCAUGGGUUAGUUGUAUGUUGAUAGGACUAUGUAUUGGAGGGCAAGAGUGACAGAAGCUUCAACCUAGCAUAGAAAUUGAUGCAUACGGGAUUGAAGGGGGACCAAUAUAUCUUAAUGCUAUGGUUGGAUUUUACCUUAAUGAAUGUUAGUAGUUACGGAAGCUUGCUAAUAGUUCCAAUCAUAAGUGCAUAGAAUUCCAAGUCAGGGAUGACAUGCUAGAAGUGGCCUCUCCCACAUAAAACUUGCUAUCGGUCUAGUAAAGUAGUCAAUUGCUUAGGGACAAUUUCGCAACUCCUACCACCACUUUUCGACACUCGCUAUACUAACUUUAUUGGUUCUUUACCUAAAACAGCCCCUGGUUUUUAUUUACGUGCCCUUUAUAUUCUUGCAAACCUAUCCCGUUACACGUACAAAGUACUUCUAGUUUCAUACUUGUUCUAGGUAAAGCGAACAUUAAGCAUGCGUAGAGAUGUAUCGGUGGUCAAUAAAACUUGAGGGAAUAUUUGUUCUACCUUUAGGUCCUCGUUGGGUUCGACACUCUUACUUAACGAAAGAGGCUACAAUUGAUCCCCUAUACUUGUGGGUUAUCAAGACCUUUUUCUGGCGCCAUUGCCGGGGAGCAAUAGCGUGGGGUGAAUAUUCUCCUGUGUGCUUGUUUGCUUUAUCACUAAGUAAUUUUUAUUUUCUGUUCUAAGUUGUUCUCUAUCUUUAGUUAUGGAUAUGGAACACGAAAUACCAAAAAAUUUAGGUUUACUUGGUACUCAUGGAGAUGGGGAACCUCCUAAAACCCUCGAUGCUCAUUAUGUGAAAGAUAUUAUGCACUACUUUAAUAAUCCCGAGAAAACCCCAUUCAAUUAUGUAAUGGGAGACACGUUGGAUCAACGUGAAUACUUUAGGGAUUAUCGCUUGACUCAAAAAGGGAAAUUAUUAUGGGAUCAAAUUUAUAUGUUGCAUUGGUAUGCUCGGCAACUAUGCUUGAGAUAUGAUUAUACUUAUUGCUCAAGGAUAAAGGCUCCACACCUUCCCUUUUCAUGCAAUUUUAAUGAUAAUGAAACCUUAGCUUCUUAUGCUAAUGGUAUAUAUGAUUACUCUGAUGUGGAACAAAUAGAAGAAUUUGUUGCUUUUAAGGCUGCUUGUGAAAUUGAAUCUUUGUUUAAAGAGUUUGAAGAUUUUGAUGAUACAGUUUAUAGACCUGAAAAUUUAGCUAUCCUUAAAUAUUGCUAUGAUAAUUAUAAAUACAAUUAUGAUAUUGAUGAAUUUAUUGAGAAAGUCUCCACUGUCCGAGAAGAGACUAAUGUUUUGCAGGAGUCUAUGGAAGAAGGAAUUGAUGAAACUGUGGGCUCAUUGGAUGAAAAAGAUGAUGAGGAGAGCGAAGAACAAAAGGAGUAAGAGCGGAUUAGUUACAUGUGCCCACCUUCUAAUGAGAGUAACUCUUCAACUCAUACAUUGUUUAAUUUCCCUUCGUUCUUACCGAAGGACGAAUGCUAUGAUGAUUGUUAUGAUCCCGUUGAUUCUUUUGAAAUAUCCCUUUUUGAUGAUGCUUGCUAUGCUUGUGGCCAAGAUGCCAAUAUGAAUUAUGCUUAUGGAGAUGAACUUGCUAUAGUUCCUUAUGUUAAACAUGGAAUUGUUGCUAUUGCACCCACGCAUGAUAGUGCUAUUAUCUUUUUGAAUUCUCCCGACUACAGUAUAUCGGAGAAGUUUGCCCUUAUUAAGGAUUAUAUUGAUGGGUUGCGUUUUACUACUAGACAUGAUGAUUUUGAUAGAUAUAAUAUGCAUGUACUUGCUGACCCUACUUGCAAUUAUUAUGAGAGAGGAACUACAUCUCUGCCUCUCCAUGUUUCCAAUAUAAUAAAAUUGCAAGAAACUGUUUAUACUAUGCAUUGGCCUUUACUAUGUGUGCAUGAAUUGUUCUUUUAUGACAUGCCGAUGCAUAGGAAGAGAGUUAGACUUCAUUGCAUGAUAUAUGUUACUUUUUGCUCACUACUAAAUCAAAAAUCAUUGUUAAUUAAAAUUGGCUUUGAUAUACCUUGGGAUCCGGGUGGAUCCAUUACUUGAGCACUAUAUGCCUAGCUUAAUGGCUUUAAAGAAAGCACUGCCAGGGAGACAACCCGGAAGUUUUAGAGAGUCAUUUAU
rnacentral:lncRNA from 1 species